ACCAAAAACUCAUCUAUGGAUGCUGCUGGUGCAACCCUUUUGGGUUACAUCUUCUCCUCCUCCUUAGCUUUCCUUCUUCUCACUCUACUUUUGAAGUACUUUGGCAUUUUACGAACCAAAAAUGGCAGUGUUGGAGCUCCACCAUCUCCACCGUCGCUUCCCAUCAUCGGUCAUCUUCACCUUGUGGGUUCCAUCAUACCGAAAUCAUUGCAAGCUCUGGCUCGCCGUUAUGGCCCUCUCAUUCAGCUCCGUUUAGGUGCCUCAACAUGCGUAGUUGUAUCCAACGCCCAAGUCGCCAAAGAAGUCAUGAAAACACAUGACCUCAAUUUCUGUAACCGACCCCAGUUUGGAUCCUCAGAGAACUACUUAUACAAAGGCUCUGAUUUCGUCACUGUCCCAUAUGGUCCUUAUUGGCGCUUCAUCAAAAAGCUUUGCGUUACUCAACUUCUCUCCACCACGCAGCUUGGGCGCUUACGGCACAUCCGGCAGCAGGAGAUAGAGAAGCUCUUGAAAUCUCUCCUGGAGUGUUCCUCUGAAGGCAGGGAAACGGAUUUGAGCCGUGAUCUUUCUGCUUUGACCAACAAUGUCCUGUGUCGGAUGGCCAUGAGUACGACCUGUUUGGACCACGACGUUAAUGAUGGUGAGGAUAUUUUUGGCCUGGUGACAGAGUUUAUGCACUUGGGAGCCAAGUUGAGCAUGGGUGAGGUGUUGGGACCAUUGGGAAAAUUUGACUUGUUUGGGUAUGGAAAGAAGCUUGUCAGAAUAGUUGGUAAAUUCGACCGGAUUAUGGAGCGCAUCUUACAGGAACAUGAAGCGAACAACUCCGAAAGAGGGGACAUGAUGGAUAUUCUAUUGCGAGUCCACAAAGAUCCAAAUGCUGAGAUGAGGUUAACAAGGAAUGAUAUCAAGGCCUUCUUCCUGGUAAGUUCUUAUCUUUUGCCUUGGAUAUUCACUGUUUUUUAUGUAAAAAAGUUUCACAUUUUUAGAACGGAGUAGAGUAGAAAAGUGACUAUAGUUUUUGUGGUGUGUUGCAAGGAUAUUUUCCUAGCGGGAACAGACACGUCUUCAACAGCUUCCCAAUGGGCCAUGGCAGAAAUCAUGAACAAUGCAGGAGUGUUGACAAAGGUGAGGGCAGAGAUUGAAGAAGUGGUGGGUUCUAGCAGGUUGGUUACUGAAUCAGACCUUCAAAAUCUACCUUAUCUCCAAGCUGUUGUGAAGGAAGUGCUAAGACUCCACCCUACGGCACCGUUCACUAUUAGAGAAUCAAAAGAGGACUGCACCAUCAACGGGUAUGAUAUAAAGGGCCAGACACGGACACUGAUAAAUAUGUACGCCAUCAUGCGGGACCCAGAAGCGUGGGCGAACCCAGAAGAGUUUAUACCAGAAAGGUUCUUGGUAGACGACAGUGAUGAGACGAAGGGUGGUGAUUUCAGGUACCUUCCAUUUGGAUCUGGGAGGAGGGGAUGCCCUGGAUCUUCACUUGCCUUAACGGUUAUACAAGGGACAGUUGCAUCAUUGAUCCAAUGUUUUGAUUGGAAGACGAAAGGGGGAGAGAGAGUUUGUUUGGAAGAAGGAUCAUCAUUUUCUACAGGAUUGGCAAAACCACUUGUUUGUUAUCCUGUCACUCGUUUUAAUCCUUUUUAAAUCUACACUGCUGUUAUCUCUAUCAAAAGUACUGUUCUGUCAUCUACUAUGAUGUUGUUUUUAGGUUCAUCAUCUACUCAUUCACCAUUGGUGUUGUUUGUUACCACUGUUGUCAUGUAACUGUGAUUUUGUAAACAUAUUUAUAGUUUCUGUCAAAUAAUGAGGUGUCUCAGUGUGCAUUGUGCAUUGUGCUGUCUUCAAUUAAUUAACCAACUAAAAGGAGAAAUCAAAAAGAAUAUUCGUUUUAAUUACUUAAUAUCUUUGUUUCAUAGUUUAGUAAAAAAAAUUAAUUACUUGAAAAAUAAAAAAUUUAGAUUUAAAAGUUAUUUUAUUAUUUUAAACUGAAAAAUACUUUUAUAUUAAAAUUUAUUGAAUACAGUCAGGUCUAGCUUAAAGAAAUUGUAUCAGUUUGGUUGGAUUCAUACUUUAAUGAUCAAAAAGUCUAGUUUCAUCCGAUCCUAUAUUGGAUAAAUUUUUUAUUCAAAUUAAGUACUCAAAUAAAUUUAAUUUAAUUUAAUAUAUACCUAAAUUCAUUUAGAUUGUUGGUUGAAUGGACUGAGCUAAAAUUAACCUCACUUCAAAAUUCCUAAAGUAUUGAUCAGGAGUGCCUCAUUGAAAUAACAUGACAUGAUAUUGUUCACCUAUUCAAUGUAGCUUUUUUCAAAAUCAGUUGUGACUAUAGCCAAGGCAUAGAUAUAAAUACCAAAAAAAAAAACAUCUCAUGGCAGUAAUGUUGUUCUUCUAUUGCUUGAUCCUCCAGUUCACCAAAAUGUUGCAAAGUCAGCAGCCCACUAAUUAGUAUUGCAGAAAAUAAUUAGAUACAAUGAAAUGAUAGAAUCCAAGUUCGAAACAAAAAUAAAAUACUUUGAUUGGUUAAAAGUUUCUCUAUAAACACUAAUGACAGGAAAAAAAAUGGCUUUUCCGAAGAGCUAAUUUUAAUUAUGCACAACUAUGCACAUAAGCUUAAUUUUAGUUUAUAGAAGAAGUUUAUUUAAUUAUUAAUGCUUAUCUUCGUCUUAAAUAUAAGUACUAAUGGAGAUGUUUAUCUAAACAGGAUUUAGAACAACUUGUAAGAUGAAGUGUAGCUAUUUUACCUGGAUGGAGAAUAGGAAAAAGCAUGCAAUUAAGGCCUAACAAUGAAUGGAGGUUGUAGAAAUUGUCAAUGCCCUUGUCAAUGUGAAACAUCCAAGCAACCAGAUACCGAUCAAGUUCAAAAUGAAAGCAACAAAUUGUAAGGUAAGAUGAUUGAUCUUUUGAAGUUUUUAGUUCCAGAUAGAGUCUUGUAUGCAAGCAUCCCUGUAAAUUGCCACAGUGAAUAAAAGAAGGUAGUUUCUAACAUGAAAGUAUCUAUUGAUAUUGAUUUACAUUCAGCUUAUGAAAAAAAAUCAUACAUGGAGACAAAACAAAAUCAAAUCUUAUUUGAACUUAAGUACAUGAUAAAAUGCUUAAAUUUAGUUAUUCAAAUAAAUUUUGUGUUGAAAAUAUUUGCAGUUAAAUGAAUGUAGUUGAGUGUAGUGUAAAAUCUGUAGAACAAAUAUAAAUUAUUCUCAUGUGAAGCUGAAGUUCUUAUCUCUUGAAGUUUGGUGUGAUUUGAACAUAUGGAACUUGCAAAAUCAUAAUUAUGAAGACAUGGCACAGGUAUAUGGAUAAUAGAAAUUUGUGCGGGAUUUCAUAGUUUGCGUGAUUAAGGUAAGGCUCUUGAGAUGAACUGAAUGCAUUGGUUAACUUUAAACAUGUUAGCAGCUGGUGGCAUGCUUGAAAGUACCUUAAAUAGAUUUUAUGUUUAUUUUAGGUAUUAUCAUUCUUCACCAAUCCUUACACUUUUAUUUACUCGUCCUUCAUUGUAGAGUCUAUGUAUUGCAGGUUUGUCUAAUGGUUAUCAACAGUUUUCUACCAGUUUUUCUGUUGUCUCAGGGGGGAACAUUUUGUCAAUGGGGUGCAGAGAAUUUCUAGCCAGAAGAUUCCCACUCCUGGAUUCUCAGUCAACAGGAGUCACUCACAUAUGAACAUAGAUUAUAAUAUUAAUGGAGAUGCCUUUCCGGUGUAGAGUCUACUAUGGUACCACUGUCACAACUUCAGUAGCAGAAGCAGCAUGUUGGUGGCCAAAAUAGUCAUGUAUUAUUGCAGAACCUCAACAGUCAAAUGGGUAUUGGAGUGAGAUCUGGUUUACUACAGAAGCCAAUUACAAACUCAAAUGGUGCUAUAAAUAGUGGAUAUGGCUUAAUUGGAAACAAUAUACAGCUUGCAAACGAACCUGACACUUCUUUCAGCUAUGCCUCCACUUAUGCCAAUUCACGUAAACACUUGCACCGGCACUUUGAUCAAAAUCAGAAACAAGUAAGGUAAUAUUUUUCUCACUCCUUCUAAUUUUGUUUUACCUGUAACCCAACACCUGUAUUAAGCUUCAUAACCUUUUAGGACUAUGUUUUUUUGUGAGUAUACACAUCUGUGUGUCUGUAUACAUAUUACAUGUUCUGUAUUGAAUGAUAGCAAAGGGUAAUAAUGUAAGAGAAAGUUGUAGACUAGGGUACAAAAGAAAUUGAUGAUUAAGUUUGUGUAUGGAGUGAAAGCUAUUAGUGUAAGAAUAUUACGUGGCACCUCACGAUUAUUUAUCUUAUUAAUUGAUCAAUUACCAUAAUUAUCAUAUUAUAUUAUUGGUAAUUACUUGAUGGACGUAAUUACUAUUACCAUAAAUAAUUAGGGUUGGGUGUAUUAUAAAAAUAGAGAUGACCAGACAACUAAAGGGACACCCUCAUUCCCUAAAGGGAUUUUCGAGCCUCUCAUCUCUUUGUCUCACUACUCACAUAAUUCCAUUCUAAACGAUACACCCUAAAGGGGAAACCGAUCAAGAUCAUGUCUUCGUCCCUCAGCCAUACGAUCACAGGUCUACUAGGUAUUAUUUAAUCAUUAUUCUCGUUUCAUUAUAUGAUUAAGGAAUCCUAAUCCAACAUGUGGUAUCAGAGCGUUUAUGUUGCUUAAUCGAUUCUUCUUUCGUUUUCCCUAAAUUUCACUAGUGCAAAAAGAAGAAAAGGAUACGCUUUAUUUAGUGCGGCUUUUGCGCUACCAGCUUUCGUAAAAAACGCGGUGGCAUUUUUGAAAUUUUUUUGAUUUACGAAUGCGGUUAUUUGAAUAGCCGCAUUCGUAAAUCAAAGCACUUGAUUUACGAAUGCGGUUUUACCUUUAACCGCAUUCGUAAUUCCUUUUUUACCCUAAAUUUUGAAGGGCGCCACACACAAUUUCAAACUUUAUUUCUCGUCUUUGUCUUCGUUUCGCGUUCGCACUCUGAGUUCGUCUCCUUCUGCUGCAUCUGCAUUCCAUUUGUGCAAUGUAAGUUUCUUGAACUCUCUUUCUUCCUCUUCAUCUUCACAAAUAUAUGCAUAAAUGUUUUCGUUUUUCUUAUAUAUGUUUUUUUCCUUGCAUUGGUGGUCUCGAAGCACUGUUUCGUUGGCUGACAUUCGUUUUUCUUACAUUGUUUGGUUUAUUUGGUUUAUCGCAUUGCUCAGUACUCUUUCAUUGUCUUCGUGGUUUCUUGUGGAUUUUUUGGUUUGCUCCGUUGCUGCUUCCCUGUCCGUCGUCGCUUCUGCUGCCGCCAUCCCGUGAAUCUUCAUCUUUGGCUUCACACAAGAUUGACGAUGUUUUAAAAUUUUUAAUUUUUUUUAAUGAUUUGGCAUAUAUAAGUGCGGUUAAAGCAAAUAACCGCACUUGUAAAUGGUAUUUAUAUUUCUUGAUUUACAAGUGCGUGUUGAUCAAAUGCGGUUAUAAAGCCGCAUUUAUAAAUUCAAAAUAGCCGCAUUUGUUUUAUGUUUCUGCACUAGUGUUUGGAAGAAACGAAGAUUUUGAUUCAACCUAUUGAUUUUUGAUGUUUUUAUUUUGGUAUAUUAUUGAACCACUUAUUUUCGAAAAUCCACAUUGAUAUCAUAAAAAUAAAUUUUAAUUUUUUCGAGAUCCAUAAUUAUUUUAAGAUUUUGAAAAUUAAAAUUUAAUAUGAAUGUUAUGUGUUCUUCAUAAUUUUCGUGAGUAUUCUCUUAUUUGGAAUGGAAUUAAUUUUGAUUCUAUGUUCAUCAUCAUUAUUUGUUGUUCGUAUGAAUUUUCGAAAAUUAGGAAUAAAGAAUUUUUGGAAAUUAAUUAUUCCCUUAAUUAGGAAAUUUCGAAAAUAAUAUUUUUCCUUAAUUCAAAUUUUCGAAAUACAAUUGAUUCCCUUAAUUAGGAAUGAAUUUGAUUUGAUUGUGUUUUCCUAAAAAAAAAUAAAAAUUGAUAUCUUAGUCUCCAAGUUUUUCCUUAUUUAAGAUAGUAUAUUCUUGCCUUAUUAAUUUUCGGGUAUUAUAAUUAUUAUUACUAUUUUCGAAAAUAGCAGUCGUGUCAAACUUGGAAACAUAUCAAUCUCAUUAAAAUUUUGAAGACCAAAUCUAAAAUCAAAUCCUUAAUAUUCCGCUACUCACCUUAUCGGGUUUACGAGUAACAUAUUUACGCGUUUCCUUUCAUUUAUCGAAUUAAAUAUGGUAAAUCUCAUGAUACCGUAAUUAUGUUUAAAAAAAUACUUAUUUUGUUAAACUCUUAAAAAAUAUAUAUAUAUAUAUAUAUAUAUUAAGUUUGACAAAAUUAAAAUUAAAAUUUUUGCAUAAACUUAAUAAUAGGAGUCUCCCUUCUGUCCAACGAUGAUGUGUUAUAUCUUGUUAUUUGAGUCUAAUUAAGCACCUUCACUUACUUGUGAGUACACUUCAUUAUUAAAUAUUCACAUGACAUUUGCCUAAAAACACAAUUAUUUCUAUUUUGUCCAACGAUGUUUGAUGCACUUGUGUUUUGCAAACUUAAUAUGUGCAUAAGCUUAAAUGUUCACUUCUGUCCAAAGAUGAUGUGUCACAUUCUUAUUGCACAUACCUUACUUAUAAUUGUUCAUUAUGCUUAAAUAAUUGGUAAUUAACCAAAGUGAAAGCUGAUUGUUUAAGUAGAACCUAAUCUAGUAUGUUAUUUUGAUGUUAUAAUAGAUUUUAUCACAACUUCAUUAUCAUAAUGGUUCUUAUUUAUGCCUACUUUAGAUCUAAGUUUCCCUAUGUCACUCUAACUUUUUCCUUAGCCUAAGUAUCUUAAUUCGUCGUCUAACCAGCCCCUAAUAUGGGAAUUGAGACCUUGACUGGUGAAAAUCAGUGAAGGUUUCCUAGUCCACUUCAUUAUGACUUCUCUUCCUUCUGCGUUUGAAGCCUUCAAAGUCAACUAUAAUACUCAGAAGGACAAAUGGUCCAUGAGUGAGUUGAUUGCUAUGACUGUUUAAGAAGAAGAGCGCCUGAAGCUGGAGAAACCAGAUGUUGCUUACCUCGUGGCUGCUGAAUCAAAGAAGCGGAAGGGCAAAUUCCAUAAAAAAAAGGAAUCUAAUAAGGUCCCUAAAACUUAUGCAAGUGCACCCUCCAGCUCUAACAAAUCCACUAGCAAGUCCUACUACAAGUUUUGCCGCAAGGUAGGACAUAAGCAGUCUGAGUGCUCAAGCUUUAAGGAGUGGCUGGCUAAGAAAGGUAAUCAUCUAAAUAUGAUAAUUGAGUCCUUUAAUUUAAAUGUUCCAACUAAUACUUGGUGGUUUGACUCUAGUUCUAUGGUUCAUGUGACCAAUUCAAUCCAGGGAUUCCUUACAAUCCGGAAGUUGGAAAGAAACCAAAUAACACUUAAGAUGCGGAAUGGACAAGAACUAUUUGUCGAAGAUGUGGGAACCUUAGAAUUACUUAUGAAAACUGGAAAAUGUAUUAAACUUUAUGAUACCUUAUAUAUUCCUGAGAUUACUCGGAAUCUUGUAUCAGGACCAAAGUUAGACAUUGAUGGUUUUUAUGUUUCCCAUGGUCAUGGCAAACUUACUAUUUCUUUAAAUUCUCAAUUGUUUGGUACUAGUUUUCUGGAUAACGGUCUCUAUAAGUUAGAACUAGAUGAUAGCUUCUCCAAAUCUUUGUUAUCAUAUAAUAUUAAUGAGAACUUAACAAAGACUAAGAGAAAACGAGACUUAGAAACUUCAUCCAUGUUGUGGCAUCAACGUUUAGGCCACAUUUCACGAGAUCGCUUAUCUCGACUUGUGAAGGAUGAAGUCUUACCAUCUCUCGACUAAUUUUGGAACAUAUGUCAAAUGCCUCAAAGGCAAAAUAACAUCCACGACUAAGAAAGGUGCCACUAGGAGUUCAAAAUUAUUAGAACUUAUUCAUACUGACAUUAGUGGCCCUUACAACAUCGUUGGAAUAACAGGACAUAAUUCAUUUAUCACUUUUAUAGAUGAUUAUUCUUGUUACAUGUACUUGUAUCUCAUUAAGGAAAAAUCUGAAUCACUUACAACUUUUAAAGAUUAUAAAACUGAAGUUGAAAAACAACUUGAUCUUCAAAUAAAAAUUGUGCAAUCAGAUAGAGGAGGUGAAUACUAUGGUAGACAUACUGAUUUGGGACAAGCCCCUGGUCCAUUUUAUGAGUUUUGUAAAAGCCAGGGGAUUGUGAACCAAUACACCAUGCCCGAUACUCCUCAACAAAAUAGUGUUGCUGAAAGGAGAAACAAGACCCUAAUGAACAUGGUGCGUAGUAUGUUAGCCAACUCCAAUUUGCCCUUAUUCCUCUGGACCGAGGCAUUAAAAGCAGCAGUUCAUAUACUCAAUAGAGUUCCUUCCAAAUCUGUCCCUAAAACUCCUUAUGAACUUUGGACUGGAAGGAAAUCGAGUCUUAGAUAUAUGAAAGUAUGGGCUUGCCUUGCUGAAGCUAAAGUUUAUAACCCUUUCUUAAAGAAGCUUGACAUGAAAACAGUAACUUGUCACUUCAUCGGGUAUCCCGAUCACUCAAAGGGUUAUAGAUUUUAUUGUCCUUCCCACGUCACCCGCAUUGUAGAAACCAAGUAUGCUCAUUCCCUAGAGGAUUUCAAAAUCAGUGGGAGCAGUGACAAUCCUUACCUGGAUUUACUAGAAGUACAAGAGGCGGGGGGAAAUCCACAUCAACUACUAAUUUGCCUCUGAUCACUCCUCUUGUAACCACUUCGCGCGUCACUGCACCACCUACUCCACGCUCAGAACCUGAUGCUACUCUAAAUCCAUCCGAGAAUGAAGGCACCCUGAACAACAAACAUCAGUACAAUGCAGAACCCGCUAAUCAGCUCAGGAGGUCAUCUAGAACUAAAACUGCUACUAAUUUUGAUGAUCAUGUAACCUACUUGACUGAAGCAGAAAUGGAUGUCGGAAGGUAUAUUGACCCUACCUCUUACAAUGAAGCCAUUACUAGUGCUCAGUUUUCUGAAUGGAAUAAUGCCAUGCUCGAUGAGCUUGAUUCCAUGAAGAAAAACAAUGUUUGGGAUCUAGUAGAAUUACCCGACGGAGUAAAACCCGUAGGAUCUAAAUGGGUGUUCAAAACCAAGCUAGAUCAUAAUGGAAACAUUGAAUGCUUCAAAACAAGAUUGGUUGCAAAAGGGUUCACUCAGAAAGAGUGAAUUGAUUAUCAAGAGACCUUUUCACCUGUCUCUCGAAAAGAUUCCUUAAGGAUCGUAAUGACCCUCGUAGCUCACUUUGAUCUAGAUCUACAUCAGAUGGACGCAAGACCGCUUUCCUUAACGGCGACUUGUAUGAAGACGUGUACAUACAACAACCAGAAGGUUUUAAACCUGAAGGUCAAGAACACCUAGUCUGCAAGCUGAAGAAAUCCAUUUACGGGCUGAAGCAAGCCUCACGGCAGUGGUACAUAAAGUUUGAUGAAGUUAUGAAGAAACAAGGUUUCCUUAAGAAUCAAGUGGAUCAAUGCACCUACCUCAAGAUGAGUGGGAGAAACUUUACUAUACUUGUCCUUUACGUAGAUGACAUUCUAUUGACAAGUAAUAGUAUAGACAUGUUGCAUGAGUCAAAGCGCAUACUUUCGCAUAAUUUUGACAUGAAGGAUCUCGGAGAGGCUGCUUAUGUUAUUGGCAUCGAAAUAUACCGAGAUAGAGCUAAGGGGAUUUUGGGAUUAUCCCAAAGGGCCUACCUUGACCGUGUCCUCACUCAUUAUAACAUGCAGCAUUGNNNNNNNNNNNNNNNNNNNNNNNNNNNNNNNNNNNNNNNNNNNNNNNNNNNNNNNNNNNNNNNNNNNNNNNNNNNNNNNNNNNNNNNNNNNNNNNNNNNNAUACCUUAUGCAUCUGUAGUUGGAAGCAUUAUGUAUGCUCAAGUCUGUACUCGUCGGAUAUCGUGUACAUUGCUGGAAUGCUAGGCGGGUAUCAAUCUAAUCCUGGUCUAGAUCACUGGAAAGCAGCUAAGAAAGUACUUCGAUAUCUACAAGGCACAAAAGACUAUAAGUUGACCUAUAGGAGAAGUGACAAUUUAGAAGUGGUGGGUUAUUCUAACUCUGAUUUUGCAAAAUGCAAAGAUGACAAGAAAUCCACUUCUCGGUAUAUCUUUAUGUUAGCAGGCGGGCCUAUCUCAUGGAAGAGUCAUAAGCAGCAAUUAACAACAACCUCAACAAUGAUGGCAGAAUAUGUUGCAGUGUACAAUGCAACUUGUCAUGGAAUGUUGUUGCGAAAUCUUAUCGCUGGACUCAAAGUCAUUAACUCCAUUUCCAGGCCAUUGAAGCUUUAUUGUGAUAACUCAACUGCCGUUAGUUUUUCGAACAAUAACAGUUCGAGUGGCGCUGGAUUAUAUCUUGAUACAAAGUACUUGUUCGUACGUGAGCGAGUUGAGGAAAAUAAGUUUUGUGUUGAGUAUAUUAGUACUAAAAAUAUGCUUGAGGAUCUGAUGACUAAAGGUCUCCCACCUAAAGUAUUCGAAGAACAUGUUUCGAAGAUGGGAUUAUCUAAAGACCUUAUUUAGCAUAUUUGUACUUACUUAUGUUUAAUAAAAUUUCCUCAUUUACCUUGAUUUGUGUGUCCUUAAAUAUGUUUAUGCAUGCCUAAAUAUACAUAGACACUAACUGUACAAAUCAAAGUCUAAAGGGCUUACUUAUCAAUUGAUCCUAAAAUUUACUUAAGUUUUAAAUUUGUAUUGUAGUAUGAUUAAUGGGGGUCUUGAGUUGAAUAUUGAUUCAAAGACUGUAUUUCUCUGCUACAAUUACAGUUUAGGACUAAAAUGAGUAUUAAAAUCUGGCCAGACUUAUCUAAUGCUCAUAAUAAAUAAUCCUUUGGCCAAGUGGGAGAAUGUAAGAAUAUUAUGUGGCACCUCACGAUUAUUUAUCUUAUUAAUUGAUCAAUUACCAUAAUUAUCCUAUUAUAUUAUUGGUAAUUACUUGAUGGACGUAAUUACUAUUACCAUAAAUAAUUAGGGUUUCCCCUUGGGUGUAUUAUAAAAAUAGAGAUUACCAAACAACUAAAAGGACACCCUCAUAUUCUAACAUCACACGGCCGAAACUCAUUCCUUAAAGGGAUUUUCGAGCCUCUCAUCUCUUUGUCUCUCUACUCACAUAAUUCCAUUCUAAACGAUACACCCUAAAGGGGAACCCGAUCAAGAUCAUGUCUUUGUCCUGAGUCGGACGAUCACGGGUCUACCAGGGGAACCCAAUCAAGAUCAUGUCUUCGUCCCUCAGCCAUACGAUCACGGGUCUACCAGGUAUUAUUUAAUCAUUAUUCUCAUUUCAUUAUAUGUUUGAGGAAUCCUAAUCCAACAGUUAGAACAACUAGAUCAUCUCUUUUUAUCUGUCAUUGGAUGUUCUUUUUUCCUUCUCUCACAUUGUUGUGUUGAUAUGUUGUCUUUUCUUAAUGAGCAAUCAUAUAGUGACAUCUUACUCCAUUAUACAACUUCUUAUUAAUGAUAUAAAAAAAUGUAUUUUUGUCAUUUCAUGUAAAAUUUGAAAUUUUAAGCAUAGAUAGAAGGUUAGAUAGAAGGUUGUAUAGUGGAGCAAUAUAUUUUUCUUUCUUAUAGGCACUUGGGCAUAUAUAUGUUCAGCUUGGUUAAAGUGAAAAAAGGGCAUGACUUUAUUAGGAGAGCUACAAAAAUUGAUUCUGGAUGCCCACGUGAAUGCUUCUAGAACACCGUUUGCAUAAAUAUUUUUAACUAUUUAGUGUUUUGUGUUGUGCAAUAUAAUAUUUAUAAUAUUUGUUACACUUGUUUGAUUACUUGUUGAGUUUGGAAAACUUUAUUAGGUUUAAGUUGUUAUUUAUGUCUUUAUUUGAGUUAGUGGGGAUAUUUAGUAUUUUUUUUUUCUAAAUAUGAGAUUAUAUAUAUUUGAAUAAAAAUUGUCAUUUGUUUUGUCUCUUUUGUUUUUGGUGAAGUAUUUUUUUUCCAAUUAAUAUUGUUGUUAGCUCUUCCUUUUUCUGAUGUGAUUCUUAUUUUUUGGUAUAUAAUUUCAUUAAUUAAAAUUUAAUAGAUUUCGAAUUGAUUCCUUUGGUGUUGCUAAAAGUGAAAAAAUUGAUAAUUGAACUAACAUUUUUUAUAUAGUUUCAGUUUUUGGUUGUUCUUGAAAAAGAUUCAUUGUAUUGCAGACAUUUCUUGAGCUGAGAGAAUUAUUAAUUCUUUCUGACACAUGAGCUGCACUAGAUGCAUUCAAAACUGUAAUGAAUUAAGAGUUUAUCAUAUGUUCUCUUUUUGGUUUGAAAUUUUUAUAAUUUAUCAUAUGAAUAGACUUUUAAAGUUUCAUAAUUUGUUAUGAUAUAGAUAUUGUAAUUGUGGUCCAGGCUCAGACUCUUUUUAAGAAAGGAGGUCAAGAAGUACCAAUUGAAUUACUAAAUAAUGUUUAUAAGAAAAUGAUAAAUAAAAAAAUGGUAAGAAGAAGAAAUGUUUCUUAUUCUCUUAUGUGUAUUUUACAUCACUUCAUGUAUAGGAAAUAUAUAGGGAUUUUCUCUCCCCCAAAUUACAAUCUAAUUAGGUAGGAUACUAAUCAUGGGAUUCUAUAAUUAUUAAAUUAAUUGCAUAUAAUUGGGUACAAUAUCGUCAAAUAUUGCAUACAAUAAUUGCAUAUAAUUUGAUAAUUAUUAUUUCCUUAAUACUCCCCCUCAAGUUGGUAGGUGAAGAUCAAGAACCCCCAACUUGUGUCGUAGCGUCAAAAGUCGUUCCUUGCCCAAUGCCUUCGUAAAAAUAUCUGCGAGCUGAUACUGUGUUGGUACAUAGGAAGGGGUUUGCUGCUAUAUGUAAUGUCGUUUGAUUGUCUCAGAAAGGUUGAGCUGGCAAGUUACAUGUCACUUUUAAAUCCUGCAACAUAUAUUAUUACGAAGUGGACUUUAAGCCUAACUCAACCCCAUAAAACCGGCUCAUAGGGUUGAGGUUUGCACCCACUUAUAUACAAUGAAAGGCUCUAAUCUCUAGUCGAUGUGGGAUCUCCAACACACCCCCCUCACGCCGAGACUACCAACUCGUGCGUGGGACUAUAUAUUUUGGGUGGUCCGAUAGCGGCCCGAUAGCGGGUGGCACGAUAGGCCCAACACAAACACUCGCUAGGAUAGGCUCGAAAUGACUCUGAUACCAUAUUACGAAGUGGACUUUAAGCCUAACUCAACCCCAUAAAACCGGCUCAUAGGGUUGAGGUUUGCACCCACUUAUAUACAAUGAAAGGCUCUAAUCUCUAGUCGAUGUGGGAUCUCCAACAUAUAUCGCAACCAAACUAUCUCCAAACAAGUAUUCGUCAUUGCGCGGUAUUCUGCUUCCGCUGAUGAUCUUGAUACGUUUGUCUGUUUUUUUGCCAUGAGAUAAUAGAGGAACCAAGAAAAAUGCAAUACCCAGAUACUGAUCUCCGAGUUGUCUGACAACCUCCCCAGUUUGAGUCGCAAUAAGCUGUCAUUGUCAAAUUGUUUUCGGAUGGCAAUAGCAAUCCUUGUCCUAGUGAUCCUUUGAUGUACUUUAGGACUCGAAUUGCGGCAUUCCGUGGAUCCUGUAUAUAUUGACUUAGGGCCCGAACCGAAAAUUCUAUGUCAGGCCGAGUAACCGUGAGGUAUAUCAGUCGUCCCACGAGUCGCCUGUAUUUGAAUGGAUCCUUUAAUAACUCUCCCUCGUCUGGUGUGAGUUUUAGGUAUUGUUCCAUUGGAAAUUUGUCUGGACGAGCACCUGUGAGUCUCGUAUCCUGCAAAAUAUCAAGCGCAUAUUUUCUUUGGGACAUGUAAAUACCAGCUUUGGAACGGGAAAAUUCAAUCCCUAGAAAAUAUUUUAGGUCUCCUAGAUCUUUAAUGCGAAAUUGUUGUAAUAAACAAUCUUUAACACGUUGAAUUUCUGUCAAAUCAUUUCCUGUCAAAAGAAUAUCAUCCACAUAAAUCAAAAGGGCAGUGAAUGAUGAGUUAUUAUGUCUUGUGAAUAGAGAGUAAUCUGUCUUGGACUGUUGAAAUCCUACAGAUUUAAUCACACGAGAAAAUGUUGAAAACCAUGUUCGAGAUGCUUGUUUGAGACCAUAAAGGGAUUUGUUGAGUCGACAUACAAUGUCCUCCCCCUGUCGAUGAUGCCCGGGUGGCAAGUCCAUGUAAAUAAUUUCAUGCAAUGUGCCAUGUAAGAAGGCAUUUUGCACAUCUAGCUGGUGAGUAAACCAAUUUCUGGCUGCUGCAAUGGUGAGGAGACACCUUAAAGUUGUUAAUUUUGCUGUUGGUGAAAAAGUUCCAUAAUAGUCGACACCUUCAAUCUGAGUGUACUCCUUUGCGACAAGGCAAGCCUUAUACCUGUCGACGCUACCAUCUGAGUUGUACUUUAUUUUAUAGACCCAUUUGCAUCCGAUGGGUUUCUGCCCAGCGGGUAACAGUGUCAAGGCCACGUUUGAUUUAGGUGCAAGGCGGAAAGCUCUUCGUCCAUUGCUUUUUGCCAAUUUGGAUCAAGGAUAGUUUGAGCAUAAGUGUGAGGUUCUUUGGUGGCUGUGAUGUUAGCAAUAUAUGCACUAUGUGUAGAAGAAAAUCGUGAAUUAGAAAGAAAAUGAUGCAUAGGAUACCUGGUUCCAUUCGGUCGGUCUUGGGCAGUGGUCGAAUGAUUGGCUUGGGAUCCCGUUACGUCGAACAGGAAGGUCGGUUGGAGAAGGUUUGGUAAUGGGUGAUAAGUGUCUAAUUUCAGUAAUAUUUCAUAUUAAAAUAUAGGCACUUAUGAGGAUUUAUUGUUAAUUUACAUAUAAAAUAAUCCAUUUACGAAUUUAUACCUUUUUACAUUUUUUAUGAUCUUUAUUUGAAUAAGAGUAUUUUAUUCCCAAAUUUGGUGUUAAUUGCAGAUUUCUAAGGAAGAUUGGAGAUUUGGAUUAAAGAUAAAUGAUUUGAGCUAAAAAGAUAAAGAUAGAAGGUCCUAGAAUGGAAAAAAAGAUGCAAAGAAAGAUUGGGCCUUUUUUAUGUUUUAUCAUUUAGCCCAUUAGCGCGACAUAGGAAACAACCUAACCCUAGAAAAUUAGGAUAAAUAGAGGGCUAGAGGCUCAACCUUAAGGUGCCAGAUUGAGAGGAAAACACCAUAGAGUGAAUUGUAACCCAAUUGGGAGAAUGGAAGGUGCUAGAAGUANNNNNNNNNNNNNNNNNNNNNNNNNNNNNNNNNNNNNNNNNNNNNNNNNNNNNNNNNNNNNNNNNNNNNNNNNNNNNNNNNNNNNNNNNNNNNNNNNNNNNNNNNNNNNNNNNNNNNNNNNNNNNNNNNNNNNNNNNNNNNNNNNNNNNNNNNNNNNNNNNNNNNNNNNNNNNNNNNNNNNNNNNNNNNNNNNNNNNNNNNNNNNNNNNNNNNNNNNNNNNNNNNNNNNNNNNNNNNNNNNNNNNNNNNNNNNNNNNNNNNNNNNNNNNNNUUCUUAUAAUUAUGCGAGGGAUCGAUAGUUAGGGAACAUUCUUAAGGAUUUUAUAUGCGAGGAAUCGAUAUAAAUGAUUUUUAUACAGGCAUCAAUUUCAAUUAAAGAACUUAAUAUUGACAUGCUAAUCAAAAUACAUGAGAGGGAGAGAGAUGAAACCUAAUCCCUAUUUUUCCAAUUGAAACAAUUAAUUCUUUGUUUGUUUUCUUAUUGAUCAUCGCCAACACAACCACUUUCAAUAUACUUUUAAUUGUUUUGUUCUAUAUUUAGCGAUUAUUGUACUUGAUAAUUCACUGUUCCUUGUGGAAUCGAUAUCCGUCCUUAGGGACAAUUAUUACUUCUGACAAACGCGGUGCACUUGCCGUAAAAAGUCAUCAAUGGGUGCUAAACUUCUUGGCAUGGAAGAAGAAGGUUGGUCUACUGGAGGUUCAUGUGUAUUAUGACGAGUAGGAGAAGAAGGUUGGUUUGAUGGAGGUUCAGGUGCAUUGUGACGAGUAGGAGAAGAGAGUUGGUUUGAUGGAGGUUCAGGUGCAUUGUGACAAGUAGGAGAAGAAGGUUGGUUUGAUGGAGGUUCAGGUGCAUUGUGAUGAGUAAGAGAAGAAGGUUGAUCAAGUGAAUGUUGGACAGGAGUGGGUAAGUCAAUGUCAAUAGUGGGCAAAAUACCUUGUAAUGGAGGUGAGGAUUGUGUCUGUGACUGUUGGCAGUAUGGGAAAACACUUUCAUUGAGAUGACAUCCCGACUUGUAAAAAAAGUGCAUGCAUCUAUAUCAAAUAAUUUGUAUGCUUUUUUACUGUGAGGAUAACCAAUGAAGAUGCAUUGUCGGGUGCGCGAAUCAAAUUUUUGCUUAGGUGAAACAACAGUUGCGUAACAGAGGCAACCAAAAGUUUUUAGGUCAGAAAGUGAACGUGGUUGAUUAUAUAAUAGCUCAAAAGGUGAUUUAUUUUUUAGUAAAGGUGAUGGCAAGCGAUUAAUGAUAUAUGUGGCGGUUAAAACGCAUUCUCCCCAAAAUUCUAAUGGUAAAUUGGAUUGAAAUAGGAGGGCUCGUGCUGUGUUUAAAACAUGUCUAUGUUUUCGUUCUACUACUCCAUUUUUUGAGGAGUGUAGACGCAAGUGCGUUUACAUUCAAUACCUUUUCUGAGAAAAAAAUCAUACAUUGAAAUAAAUUCCAGUCCGUUGUCAACGUGGAUGGUUUUAAUAGAUGCCUGAAAUUGAUUUUGUGCAAAUGUAAUGAAUGACUCUAAGAGAUGUUGGGUUUCAUAUUUGUGAUUCAUAAGAAAUAGCCAAGUGCAUCUAGUAUAGUCAUCGACUAUAGUGAGAAAAAAACGUUUUCCAAAAUGAGUUGGGGUUUUAUGAGGACCCCAAAUGUCACAAUGCAAUAGAUUAAAUGGAGAAUGAGAUUUUAUUGUGCUUAAAGGAAAGGGUAGCCUUGUCUAUUUAGCUUUGGAACAAAUACUACAAUUAUUAUGAAUGGGAAUGAGAUUUUUACUGAUAGGGAUAGGUAGUAAGGAAGAUACAAGUUGUAGACACGCCGGAGAAGGAUAUCCAAGGCGCUUAUGCCAUAAAUCAGGANNNNNNNNNNNNNNNNNNNNNNNNNNNNNNNNNNNNNNNNNNNNNNNNNNNNNNNNNNNNNNNNNNNNNNNNNNNNNNNNNNNNNNNNNNNNNNNNNNNNNNNNNNNNNNNNNNNNNNNNNNNNNNNNNNNNNNNNNNNNNNNNNNNNNNNNNNNNNNNNNNNNNNNNNNNNNNNNNNNNNNNNNNNNNNNNGAAAGAACAUCUUUGAGAGUGAUUUUGUCAUUGAAUUUAAUUGUGCCUGUAGAUGAGAUGGGCGCAGUUGAGCCUGUAGGCAGAUUAACAUUUGAAAUAAAUGAUGAUGAAGUGUGUGUGAAAAAAUGUGAAUCAGAUGCAAUGUGAUCGGUUGCUCCGCUAUCCAAAAUCCAUGGUUUCGUAAAAGCAGAAUUAGAAAAGGAGUUAUGGGCAAGCAGACCUGCAGAGCUAACAAACGUGUCACUUUUACCGUUAUUGUUGAGCGAGUAAAUAGUCCUUGCUGAAUUUGCUCGGCAUUGAAGCGUUGUACGAGGUUUCUAUCGGCUUCAUUAUUGGUGCCUUCUUUGCCAUACAUGAUUUUUUAUUUAGGGGAUAAAAAUGGAGAGGCUGUCAGGGCACCAAGAUCGGUGCUCUGAUACCAUAUAAGAAAAUGAUAAAAAAAUGGUAAGAAGAAGAAAUGUUUCUUAUUCUCUUAUGUGUAUUUUACAUCACUUCAUGUAUAGGAAAUAUAUAGGGAUUUUCUCUCCCCCAAAUUACAAUCUAAUUAGGUAGGAUACUAAUCAUGAGAUUCUACAAUUAUUAAAUUAAUUGCAUAUAAUUGGGUAUAAUAUCGUCAAAUAUUGCAUACAAUAAUUGCAUAUAAUCGUCAAGAAGUACCAAUUGAAUUACUAAAUAAUGUUGGUACGCCUCAGUUUGAAAGGAUUUAAGUUUGAUUUUUUUUAGUUGUAACUUAUAUGUUGCUCUUUUUUCUCAACAUAAUAGAUGUUGGAUAGUUGAAUUUAGAAGGAGAAAAUAUUAAUUUUAUUAUUCAAUAAUGAAAAUAUAGUGCUACUAUAAGGACUAUUUAACAAUAUUGUUUGAGAGAAUGUAGUUUUUAGAUUUUGCCUAUCAUCCAUAUGUACAAACUUUUGAUUUAUUUGAAUAAACUUUAAGUUUUUGUUUUUAUAUUAACUUUUCCAAAAGCUUUUGUUUAUUUAUUUUUUAUUUUUGCAUAAGGUAGUCUUAGCUUAUUAAAAAUCUUAUUGCAUUUUUUUUUCUUUUAUAAGUGUUCACAGAAAAAUUUAUCCAAACAACAUAAUUGUAUUAGAAUUGUAGUAAAUGUAGAAUAUCAAUGUAGAAUAGGUUAUUAGAUAUAAGUAAAUCUGCAUUAGCUAAAAAAGAAAACAUUAUCUAAAUUUUUUUAAAUGAUAGCAUUGUUUAUUUUCAUAAAUUUUGUUUGAUAAAAGUUAUCAAUAUAAUAAAUUUACUUUUUUAUAAUAAAAAUCAAACCUAAAUAUUUAUGUUUAUUAUUCUAACAUCAAUCACUAAAUGAAUCUUAAUGAAUAAGAUGAAUGAUUUAGUAAGUUAUAUGUAUUUCUUAUAUCAAUAUAAUUAUUUGGUAUUAAUACGAAAUUAUACCUAUAUAGUAUUAUGAAACCCCGAAAAGUAAAUAAAACAAAGUUGAAGGGUAGUAAUGCAUUAAUGUUAGAUGGUAGAAGAAGAACAAAGGGUCUGAGAAAAUUGUUGGACUAUUUUGGUUCGACAUUUUUAUUAUUUAUCACCUACUUUUUUUAUAUAUACACCUCUUAGAAGUAAUGGAGGGUUUGAAAACUGCCGGUUAUAAUGGGGGCUUGAAAACCAUCGAGAAUAACGGGGAUUUUCAAAAUCACCGGAAAUAUUGGGAGUUUUUAAAUCGCCGGGAGUAAUGGGGAUUUCCUUAAAAGUAAUUAUUUUCUAGGAGUUUGUAAAAACCGUCGGUAAUCCGUUAGCGACGCUGGAUCUACCAGGAGAAAAGCAAACCAUGGAUAACGUACUUAACAAAGGCUAAAACCAUUGAAAAUAUAAAAAAUAACCCAGUUAAAAAUAAUUUUUUCCUACACCAUACCACUACACCUGAUUUCAACGGAAAGACGAAAAUGUCCUAAAAGAAUGAGGUGCAUAUAAAAUUACCUUCCGGACUCCAUUUUCUGGAAUAUGUGUUCCGUAUUUCUUUUUCCAGAAUAAAUUUUUUGAAUUACAAAAUUUCUUAUUCGGAAUGGGCUUUUCAUUUUUUUUCUGGAUUUUCAUUUUCGGAACACAAUAAUCACUCUUCUGGAUAUUCUUUUCUAAAAUGUAUUAUUUCAAUUCUGGAUUUUAUUAUCUGUAAUAGAAUUUUGAUUUUUGUUUUCAGAUUUUUAUUUCCUAAAUUCAACAACCUCUUCCGGAUUUAUUUUUCCAGAAUAUAUUAUUUUCAAUUCCGAAUUUUAUUUCCAAAAUAAAGGGUAUUUUUGGAAAUUAAAAUAAUAUGUUGGGUGCAGGUUAAAAAUGAUUGGGUGUAAGAAGCAUUUGCCUUGAAAAUAUACAGGUGCCGGAGACUUAAACCAAUAGGGUUUCAGCGGUGUAGCUUGGGCCUAAGAAUGGUUUGGGCUCGUGACCAAAUUCUUAUUUACUCCUGCUAUUUACAAUUCCAUAUUCUACUAAAUGCACCUCUUUAAAUCUUUUUUUAUUUAAAAUGAUAUGUUUACUUUCAUUUGAUUUUUUUUUUGUUUCAUGCUCUAAAAAAUGUGUUAGAGAAAAGUGUUUAGAGGAGUAUGUUUUAGAACACUCUACAUCUCAGCAAGUAUUCGUCGGAAAAAAUCUUCAUUUUCAUGUUUUGAAAAGUACCUUUGUAAAUAUUCAAAAAAUAAUUUUUUUCUACAUAAUGUAUUCUGAAAUGUAAAAAGAGUGUUACGAAAAUUAAAAUUAGUUCUUUACAUAUUCUGAAACAUUUUGGAAUACAUUUUUGUUUCAUAGCAUUUGAAAAUUACUUUCUCAAACAUUUGUUUUCUUAAUAUUCUGAAAAUUACUUUCUCAAACAUAAAAAUAAAAGAAUAUUAUGAAAAGGAUAAACAAAUAAUUCUCAAGCACCUUUGUUAAUCUCUUUUAACAUUUCAAAAUACAAACUAAAAUACAUUUUAUUUUCUUAAAAGAAAGUAUUUCCCAUAAUAUAAAUCAAGGAAUAGAAAAUAAAGAUAAAUAUAUUAUUGAAAUAAAAGAAUUAAAAUGAGUUAUAAUAUAAUGUAAUAGUUAUUAAAAUUCUCUCCUUCCCCCUCAUAAUUUUUAUUGCGCUAAAAUAUAUUGAGUAUAAAAUGUUACCACUAGUGCAAAAAGAAGAAAAUGAUACUCUUUAUUUAGUGUGGCUUUUGCGCUACCCGCUUUCAUAAAAAACGCGGUGGCAUUUUUGAAAUUAUUUUGAUUUACGAAUGCAGCUAUUUGUAUAGCUGCACUUGUAAAUCAAAGCGCUUGAUUUACGAAUGCGGCUAUUUGUAUAUAAAUCAAAGCGUUUGAUUUACGAAUGUGGCUAUUUGUAUAGUCGCAUUCGUAAAUCAAAACUCUUUGAUUUACGAAUGUGGUUUUACCUUUAGCCGCAUUCGUAAAUCCUUUUUUACCCUAAAUUUUAAGCACGCCACACACAAUUUCAUACUUUCUUUCUCGUCUUUGCCUUCGUUUCGCGUUCACACUCUGAGUUCGUCUCCUUCUGCUGCAUCUGCAUUCCAUUUGUGCAAUGUAAGUUCUUGAGCUCUCUUUCUUCCUCUUCAUCUUCACAAAUAUAUGCAUAGAUGUUUUCGUUUUUCUUAUAUAUGUUUUUUUCCUUGCAUUGGUGGUCUCGAAGCAUUGUUUCGUUGGCUGGCAUUCGUUUUUCUUACAUUGUUUGAUUUCUUGCAUUGCUCAAUACUCUUUCAUUGUCUUCAUGGGUUCUUGUGGAUUUUUUGGUUUGCUCCGUUGCUGCUUCCCUGUCCGCUGUCGCUUCUGAUGCCGCCACCGUUGUUGGCCCUCCCGUGACUCUUCAUCAACGUUGCCUUCACACAAGAUUGACGAUGUUUUAAAAUUUUUAAUUUUUUUUUAAUGAUUUGGCAUGUACAAGUGCGGCUAAAACAAAUAGCCACACUUGAAAAUUGUAUUUAUAAAUGCGGCUAUAUAGCCGCAUUUGUAUUUCUUGAUUUACAAGUGCGUGUUGAUCAAAUGCGACUAUAAAGCCGCAUUUAUAAAUUCGAAAUAGUCGCACUUGUUUAUGUUUCUGCACGAGUGUACCUUUAUCAAUUAAUAAUUUUAUAUAUACUACAAGAAAAUCAAAUCAUGAAAUAGAAACCAAUUUUUAGAGACAAAAAAUAAUUAGUUGCUAUAGUAAUUAAAUUAGAAAUCAUUUUAGAGACAAAAAAAAUGUUGGUUUCUAAAUUAGUUUAUAUUAUUGUUAAAUGGUUUCUAAAUUAGUAUCUAGUUAGAAACCAAUGUUUUUGCUACCAAAUUUAGAAACUAAAUAAUUGGUAGUUAAAACAUUGUUAGCUAAUUAGAUACAAAUUUAGAAACCAUUUAACAAUAAUAAAAACUAAUUUAGAAACCAAUUUUUUUUAUUUUCUAGAAUGGUCUCUAAUUUAGUUACUAUAACAACUAUUAUUUUUGGUAUCUAAAAUUUGUUUCUAUUUUAUGUUUUUCUUGUAGUGAUAAUUAUUUUAUCCAUUCAUAUAAAAUGUUAAAAUUGAAACAUAAUAAUAAAAUUAUUAAAAAAAUUAUCUUUUAAUAUAUUUUAAAAUAUAUUCCGUGUUAUUAAAAAGAGAUAUGAAAUUAAUUUAAAUUUUUUAACUACAAUCUAUAUUAAAAGAACUUUAAAUUUAAUUAAUUGUAAGCUUUUAGAAAUUAUAAUGCGAUUAAAACUAUUCAAUAAUGUAAUAUUUAGUAUAAGCUAAGCUAUAUAUAAUAAUGUAAUAUUUAGUAUAAGCUAAGCUAUAUAUAUAUAUAUGUAUAGUUUACUAUUCACAUAGAUCCACUUUUAUGGGACCACUUUUCGUAAUUGAGAAGGUUUGGGACUAUUUAAUGUCUGUUUUGGUUUGACUACCUUAAUCUUUAAUCAAAUUGGUUGAAAUAUUUUUAUCAGUGGUGUAAUUCAAAUAUAAAAUAACAUUAAUAAAUUUGAUUUCAUAUCUAAAAAGAUAAAAUAUAGCUAGUAUCGUUAAUAAAUUUUACAUUUAUUUAAUCUGAAACUACUUAUAUAAUGCAUGGCAAAUUACUAUGUGAGUAAGACCCAUAAUGGUAGUGUUAUGGAACUGAGUAAUACUUUGGACUCCAAGAAAAAGAAGCAAAUAGUGUGACCAAAAACUCAUCUAUGGAUGCUGCUGGUGCAACCCUUUUGGGUUACAUCUUCUCCUCCUCCUUGGCUUUCCUUCUUCUCACUCUACUUAUAUAAUGCAUUUUACGAACCAAAAAUGGCAGUGUUUCUCCACCAUCUCCACCCAUCAUCGGUCAUCUCCACCUUGUGGGUUCCGUCAUACCGAAAUCAUUCCAAGCUCUGGCUCGCCGUUAUGGCCCUCUCAUUCAGCUCCGUUUAGGUGCCUCAACAUGCGUAGUUGUCUCCAACGCCCAAGUCGCUAAACAAGUCAUGAAAGCACAUGACCUCAAUUUCUGUAACCGACCCCAGUUUGGAUCCUCAGAGAACUACUUAUACAAAGACUCUGAUUUCAUCACUGUCCCAUAUGGUCCUUAUUGGCGCUUCAUCAAAAAGCUUUGCGUUACUCAACUUCUCUCCACCACGCAGCUUGGGCGCUUACGGCACAUCCGCCAGCAGGAGAUAGAGAAGCUCUUGAAAUCUCUCCUGGAGUGUUCCUCUGAAGGCAGGGAAACGGAUUUGAGCCGUGAUCUUACUGCUUUGACCAACAAUGGCCUGUGUCGGAUGGCCAUGAGUACGACCUGUUUGGACCACAAUGAUGGUGAUGAUAUUAUUGGCCUGGUGAUGGAGUUUAUGGACUUGGCAGCCAAGUUGAGCAUAGGUGAUGUGUUGGGACCUUUGGGAAAGUUUGACUUGUUUGGGUAUGGGAAGAAGCUUGUCAGAAUAGUUGGUAAAUUCGACGGGAUUUUGGAGCGCAUCUUACAGGAACAUGAAGCGAACAACUCCGAAAGAGGGGACAUGAUGGAUAUUCUAUUGCGAGUCCACAAAGAUCCAAAUGCUGAGAUGAGGUUAACAAGGAAUGAUAUCAAGGCCUUCUUCCUGGUAAGUUCUUAUCUUUUGCCUUGGACAUUCACUGUUUUUAUGUAAAAAAGUUUCACAUUUUUAGAACUUAGACUCAGUUUAUAAAACCAAUUUUCAUAGUUUAUUGCCAAAAAAGAAAGUGUAAGGUAGCACAGGAGUAGAGUAGAAAAGUGACUAUAGUUUUUGUGGUGUGUUGCAAGGAUAUUUUCCUAGCGGGAACAGACACGACUUCAACAGCGUCCCAAUGGGCCAUGGCAGAAAUCAUGAACAACCCAGGAGUGUUGACGAAGAUGAGGGCAGAGAUUGAUGAAGUAGUGGGUUCUAGCAGGUUGGUCAUUGAAUCAGACCUUCCAAAUCUACCUUAUCUCCAAGCUGUUGUGAAGGAAGUGCUAAGACUCCACCCUACGGCACCGUUCAGUCUUAGAGAAUCAGCAGAGGAGUGCACCAUCAAUGGGUAUGAUAUAAAGGGCCAGACACGGACACUGAUCAAUGUGUACGCCAUCAUGCGAGACCCAGAAGAGUGGGCGAACCCAGAGGAGUUUAUACCAGAAAGGUUCUUGGUAGACGACAGUGAUGUGACAAAGGGUGGUGAUUUCAGGUACCUUCCAUUUGGAUCUGGGAGGAGGGGAUGCCCUGGAUCUUCACUUGCCUUAACGGUUAUACAAGGGACAGUUGCAUCAUUGAUCCAAUGUUUUGAUUGGAAGACGAAAGGGGGAGAGAGGGUUUGUUUGGAAGAAGGAUCAUCAUUUUCUACAGGAUUGGCAAAGCCACUUCUUUGUUAUCCUGUUACUCGUUUUAAUCCUUUUUAAUUCUACACUGCUGUUAUCUCUAUCAAAAGUAGUGUUCUGUCAUCUACUAUGAUGUUGUUUUUAGGUUCAUCAUCUACUCAUUCACCAUUCGUGUUGUUUGUUACCACUGUUGUCAUAUAAUGAGGUCUCUCAUUCUGCAUUGUGCAUUGUGCUGUCUUCAAUUAAUUAACCAACUAAAAGAAGAAAUAAAAAAGAACAUUCGUUUUUAAUUACUUAAUAUCUUUGUUUCAUAGUUUAGUAAAAAAACGUAAUUACUUGAAAAAUAAAAACUUUAGAUUUAAAAGUUAUUUUAUUAUUUUAAACUGAAAAAAUACUUUUAUAUUAAAAUUUAUUGAAUACAGUCAGAUCUAGCUUAAAGAAAUUGUAUCAGUUUGGUUGGACUCAUACUUUUAUGAUCAAAAAGUCUAGUUUCAUCCAAUCCUAUAUUGGAUAAAUUUUUUAUUCAAAUUAAGUACACAAAUAAAAUUAAUUUAAUUUAAUAUAUACCUACAUUCAUUUAGAUUGUUGGUUGAAUGGACUGAGCUAAAAUUAACCUACUUCAAAAUUCCUAAAGUAUUGAUCAGGAGUGCCUCAUGAGAUGAUAUUGUUCACCUAUUCAAUUUAGCUUUUUCCAAAAUCAGUUGUGACUAUAGUCAAGACAGAUAUAAAUACAAAAAAAGAAAACAUCUCAUGGCAGUAAUGUUGUUCUUCUAUUGUUUGACCCUCCAGGAUACCAAAAUGUUGCAAAGUCAGCAGUCCACUAAUUAAUAUUGUAGAAAAUAAUUAGAUACAAUGAAAUGAUAGAAUCCAAGUUCGAAACAAAAAUAAAAUACUUUGAUUGGUUAAAAGUUUCUCUAUAAACACUAAUGACGGAAGAAAAAAUGGCUUUUCCGAAAAGCUAAUUUUAAUUAUGCACAACUAUGCACAUAAGCUUAAUUUUAGUUUAUAGAAAAAGUUUAUUUAAUUAUUCUUGCUUAUCUUCGUCUUAAAUAUAAGUACUAAUGGAGAUGUUUAUCUAAACAGGAUUUAGAACAACUUGUAAGAUGAAGUGUAGCUAUUAUACCUGGAUGGAGAAUAGGAAAAAGCAUGCAAGGUCUAACAAUCAAUGGAGGUUGUAGAAAUUGUCAAUGCCCUUGUCAAUGUGAAACGACCAAGCAACCCAGAUACCGAUCAAGUUCAAAAUGAAAGCAACAAAUUGUAAGGUGAGAUGAUUGAUCUUUUGAAGUUUUUAGUUCCAGAUAGAGUCUUGUAUGCAAGCAUCCCAGUAAAUUGUGAGAAUAAAAGAAGGUAGUUUCUAACAUAAAAGUAUCUAUUGAUAUUGAUUUACAUUCAGAUUAUGAAAAAAAUCAUACAUGGAGACAAAACAAACAUCAAAUCUUAUUUGAACUUAAGUACAUGAUAAAAUACUUAAAUUUAGUUAUUAUUCAAUCAAAUUUUGUGUUGAAAAUAUUUGCAGUUAAAUGAAUGUAGUUGAGUGUAGUGUAAAAUCUGUAGAACAAAUAUAAAUUAUUCUCAUGUGAAGCUGAAGUUCUUAUCUCUUGAAGUUUGGUGUGAUUUGAACAUAUGGAACUUGCGAAAUCAUAAUUAUGAAGAAAUGGCACAGGUACAUGGAUAAUAGAAAUUUGUGCGUGAUUUCAUAGUUUGAGUGGUUAAGGUAAGGCUCUUGAGAUGAAUUGAAAGCAUUGGUUAACUUUAAACAUGUUACCAGCUGGUGGCAUGCUUGGCAGUACCUUAAAUAGAUUUUAUGUUUAUAUUAGGUAUUAUCAUUCUUCACCAAUCCUUAUACUUUUAUUUACUUGUCCUUCAUUGCAGAGUCUAUGUAUUGCAGGUUUUUCUAAUGGUUAUCAACAGUUUUCUACCAGUUUUUCUGUUGCCUCAGGGGGGAACAUUUCGUCAAUGGGGGAGCAGAGAAUUUCUAGCCAGAUGAUUCCCACUCCUGGAUUCUCAGUCAACAGGAGUCACUCACAUAUGAACAUAGAUUCUAAUACUAAUGGAGAUGCAUUUCCGGUUACUACAAGAAAAGCUUGAUUUAGCUUCCAAAUUUUUGCGUGGGCCAUUUGUGGACGCUACUCUCGUCGGCCAAAAUGAGUAAAAGUCCACGCAAGAUUUACAUUGGACGCAAAACAGACGCAUAUAUUGAUUUAAGAUUUUUUUUAAAAACAUUUUUGCGUCGGCCGCGGCCCACGCAUAGACGUCGGUUUUGUGUCGGUCGCGGCCCACGCAUAUGCGUCCGCUAUAGCCCACGCAUGUUUAGAAUUUUAAAAUUUAAAUAUUUUUAACGUAUAAUAAAUAUUUUAAUAUUUAAUUCUUUAUUAUAUUUAUUUUAGAAUUAUUUCUUUAAUGUUAUAAUAAAUUAUUUAAUUUAUCAAUUUUGAAUAUAAAUUAAUUAAAUUAGAUUUAUUAAAUUAAAUAAGUGUUUGAUUUAAAAUUAAUUGAGUAAAAUAAAAUAUAUAUUUAAAUUAUUUAAAUGUUAUAUAAAAUAUUUGUUUAUUUUAAAUAUUAUUUAUGUUAAAUUUAUUUUAUUUAUAUAUUGUCAUAACUAUUUUAUUUUUGAAAUUAUGAUAUAAAUUAGUUAAAUUAAAUUUAUUAAAUUGAUAAUAAUAAUAUUAAAUUUAUUAAAUUGAUGAUAAUAAUAUUAAAUUUAUUAAAUUUAUUAAAUAUUAAUAUUAAUACUAAUAAUAUUAAUAAUAUGUAUAAGAAUAUUAAUAAUAUUUAUAAUAAUAAUGUUAAUUAUAAUAUUAAUUAUAAUGUUAAUUAUAAUAUUAAUUAUAAUAUUAAUUAUAAUGUUAAUUAUAAUGUUAAUUAUAAUGUUAAUUAUAAUAUCUAUACUAUAUAUAAAGGAAGGGGAUUCCCUUUUAAUUGUUAUUUUAUUUUUUCUAAUUUUAUCCUUAUAUUUUUAUUUAAUUUUAUUUUAAAAACAGUUUUAAUUUUAUUUUAUAUCUUAAAUUUAAAAUUAAACAUUAUAAAAUGAGACUUGUUCGGAACAUUUCAAAAUUGUAUAUUUUUCUGUUCAUCUUUUAUAUCAUCAAACACCUUUUUCAAAGGUCUUUUCUAUUUUCUGUAAUAUCGUUCCAGAUUCACAAAAUCAACCAGUAAGUCUUUUUUUUUCAAUUAUAAAAUAGAUAAAGUAGAAGAUAGAAAUGCAAUAUGUGAAUUUACUUUUUCUUUUAUUCAUUUAUGCAUAUCUUUAAAUUUAGAGUUUUGUUCUUGAGUUUUGUUCUUUCAUGCAAUGUAUGAUGACAAUAACACCAUAAAAAAAAUUUAGGAUUUUAAGAGAAAAAAAACUUACCGGAUAAAAGUGCAUCAUUGAGAAAUGAUCAUAAACAGUCCGCAUGUUGGUGUAGUGUUCGUUCUUGAAUUUUCCGAACAUUCAAACUUCGUUCUUGAAUUUUCAACUGAUACUGAUGGAGGGUAGCACCAUUUUUUAAAUAGCUUUUCUAAUUAUAUGAGUCUUGGAAUCUCUUUUGGAUUUUUGAAUAUAAAACUUUGCCUUUAAUUCAUGAAAAAUAUCACUUUAUGUGCAUGGGUUCUGAUUUGGAAUUUGGGAUUUAGUGAAUUGCGAUUUUGUUGGGUACAAAGAAAUCAAAAUUGGAAGCCAACCAAAUCCAUUAGAUUGCAAAAAGAAAAGAAUAGAUGGGUCGAGGUUGGAUUCGAAUGGAUGAAAUCGUUACCGAGUUGACGGUUAAGACACUGUUACUCAUUGAUGGCAUAAAAUAAAAACAUAAUUAAAUUAUAUUUAAUAAAAAAUAAAAAAUUAACUGUAACGGUUUUCUAUACUUACUUAAAUUAUUAACAGUAGCGACUCCCAAUACUUAAUUUCAAGAACUAAACUUAAUUUUUUGUAUUUAAAUAAUAAAAAAUCACAUAAAUUAAAAAUAUAUUUAAAUUAUACUUAAAAAUAUGUUUUUUUUUAAAUAUUAUCAUAUUUUACAAUACAUAUUUAUUUUCUGAAGAUAUUUUUUAUUUAUGCUAUCUAAUUUUUUUUCAUAUACUUAUUAUUUAUUUUAUAUUUUUAUUUCAUAAAUCAAUAUUGUUUGGUGCUUUUGAUUGCUUUCGUUUACCACUCAUAUAAAAAAAAAAGGUCAACUAUAAUUCUUGCUGUAGGUUUGUUUUGCAUUAGUGAUUUGUUAUUAAAAUUAGUAACACUUGCUUUUGAUGUGUACUAUAGUACUAUUAUUUGAUGUUUUUUAAUUGUUUAUGAAAGUGAUUUCAUAAUUUGUUUUACUUUUAGUUUUGAUUUAUAUUCUAGAAUUUUUUACAUAAUUUUUCUAAGAAGACGAAGAAUGACCAUUGAACAAAGGACAAAUGAGCUAUCUACACAAAGCAGAACUUAUAAAGAAAGGAGAUUGAAAUCUAUUCGACAUUUGGCUCGAUCAAUCAAUAAUGCAAGUAACAAACAUGUUAUAUAACACAACAAAUUUUUUUAUUUUUUUUAUAGUUUUAUAGAUUCAUUCAUUCAUUUAACUUGACAUUUGAAGGAUCUAAUGAUAACGAAGCAGGACCAAGUAACACACAUGUUACUGAACUUGGUUAGUACACUUUUAUGCUUAAGAUGUCAAUUUCCAAAAAGUAUAGUAUUUAAAAAGUCAGAUGCAAUAUCUAUACGAAGAAAAACUUAUAGAGAAAGAAAAAACAAUAUUCUUGAUAUGACAAAUAUUGUUCCAGGAAGGAGAUUGUCAAUCUAUUCGACAUUUGGCUCGGUCAAUAAAUGAUGCAGGUAACACAUAUUGUUGCUUUAAAUUGUUCUAUGUAAUUUUAUUCAUUUAUUUAACUUCACAGGUUCUACUUUUACUCCACAAAACUUUCAAGGAUCAAAUGAUAAUGAAGCAGGACUAAGUAAUACAAAUAUCAUUGACAUUGAAAAUGGUUAGUAUAUUUUUAUCGCAAUAUUUACGUGAUGGAAGUUCAAUGAAAUACUUCACUUUUUUGAAAGAUUAUUACACAUGUAGGAAGGCAACAAAGAUUUCGACGGAUACAUAACUGUGCUUGAAAUUUUAGAAACACUGUUGCGAUGGUAAUGUUUCAAUUGUCAACUCCGACUACAUGUGCACAUUGUCAUGCACAAUUAUUUUACCAUGNNNNNNNNNNNNNNNNNNNNNNNNNNNNNNNNNNNNNNNNNNNNNNNNNNNNNNNNNNNNNNNNNNNNNNNNNNNNNNNNNNNNNNNNNNNNNNNNNNNNCUUCCCCGUGUUACUGCUCCGGAUGAGUUGGUUCAAAUAUUUUCUGGUUGUUCUUCUGAAAGUAGACACUUUAGACAACAUAUUAGAAGUUACAACCAUGUGUUUUCAUUCACUUCACUUGGUGUUCACAUGGAUGAAAAUAUAGUUGCAACUGGUCAUGGUAUAUAUAGUUUUCGUGCUCAAGGUACAAUGUAUCACAGGAUUGGAGGCUUUUUUCCAAAUGAGGGGUCUAGGCCACGUUUUUUGCAAUUGUACAUUUAUGACACUGAACAUGAAUUACAAAAUAGGAUGUUGGAAACUCCUCAUCUCCAUCAAACUAUUGUUAAUAAGUUGCAACAAAUACUACAUCGGUGCAAUCCUUUUGUGCAUGUAUUCAGACAACUUGCUCAAGAACAAAAUAUACAUGAAUGUACUUUACUCAUUAAAGAGCGUCCUGUCAAUCAACCACAAUAUAAUCUUCCAACUGCAUCUCAAGUAGUAGCAAUAAUUGUUACUGGGGACACAUAAUCAAUGGCACGUGGACGAGACAUUAAAGUUGUAAGUCAUGAUGGGAACUUAAUAAACAUUCAAGAAACUGUGGGAUAUUAUGACCCUUUACAAUAUCCACUAUUAUUUCCUUUUGGAACAUAUGGUUGGGAUCUCAACACAAAAAAUCAUACUGGCCAAAAUAUCUCAUGCCGAGAAUAUUAUAACUACAUGCUUCAGGUAACUUCCAACAUAAUUAUAUAUAUCAUUUCCAACAAUUUACAUACCAAUGUUGUGUCAUAAAAUUAAUACACAUACAUCAUUACUUCAAUGUAGAUUUGUCCCAAUGAUCACUCUACAAUAUUACAAGCAGGACGACUUUUACAACAAUAUGUUGUAGACAACUAUGUGAAGAUUGAAGUAGGAAGGUUACGAUGGAUUCGAAAUCAUCAAAAUAAUAUUCGUGCUGAAGUGUAUCAAGGUUUGCAAGAUGCUUUNNNNNNNNNNNNNNNNNNNNNNNNNNNNNNNNNNNNNNNNNNNNNNNNNNNNNNNNNNNNNNNNNNNNNNNNNNNNNNNNNNNNNNNNNNNNNNNNNNNNACAUACUACAUCUAUUACAUUUAAAUAUAUCAAAACUCAUACUAUUUUUUUAUUCAAGGAAAUGUUGGACAUAGGACAAUAUUACCAUCAUCAUUUAUUGGUAGUCGUCGAGACUUGACACAACGAUAUGAAGAUGGCAUGACAAUUGUUGCUCAUGAUGGUAAACCUGAUAUUUUCCUUACAAUGACAUGCAAUCCUUCUUGGAAUGAAAUUUCUUCAGAGCUUAAACAUUUUCAAACUCCACAAGAUCGUCCUGACUUGCUCACAAGAAUAUUUCGAGCAAAAUUUGAACAAUUGAAGGAAGAUGUGAUUGAUAAAGGAGUUCUUGGAAAAGUUAAAAGUUACAUGUAUGUGACUGAAUUUAAAAAACGUGGACUACCCCAUGUGCAUAUGUUACUUAUCUUACAAGAUAAUGAUAAAUUACGUGAUCCAGAAGAUUAUGAUAGCAUUGUUAGAGCAGAAAUACCAAAAAGUGAAGAAGAGCCACAGUUGCACGAAGCUGUACUGAAACACAUGAUACACGGGCCUUGCGGAACUCUUAAUCCAAGAUCACCAUGUAUGAAUUAAAAUCAAUGCAAGAAAAAAUAUCCUAAAGAGUUCUUGGAAGAAACACGUCAAGGUAAUGACUCAUAUCCACAAUACAAAAGACGUUUCAAUGCACCAGUAUCUAUAAAUAGAAAUGUGACUGUUGACAAGAAAUGGGUGGUUCCUUAUAACCCUUGGUUGUUGUUAAAUAUGAUUGUCAUAUAAAUGUUGAAGUGUGCAGUAGCAUCAAAAGUAUUAAAUAUUUAUACAAGUAUGUCUACAAAGGUCCAGAUCGAGUAGCAAUGGAGGUUCAUAGAGGAUCAAUUGUAGAUGAAGUUCAACAAUAUAUUGAUGCUAGAUGGAUUUGUGCUCCGGAGGCUUUAUGGAAAAUAUUCAGAUUUACACUUUAUCGAAUGAAUCCAAGUGUAGAAAGAUUACAAAUUCAUUUACCAAAUCGUCAUCAGGUGCGCUUCUAUUUUAUUUUUCUAUAAAAGAAAUAAAUGUUUUCGUAAUGUAUAGUGAUCCAGCCGGUUGACCAGAGCGCAAGAGUCUUGCCACGUCAAAGGUAUCUUCCUCUGGAUCGACUCUGCACCACGCUAGCUUCCGUCCUUCACACCUCGAUUCUCCUCAAGAACCUGCAAAAGACAGAGUGGCGCCGCUGCGGCCGAUCGCGCUCCGACGCUCAAGUCAGUGACGGAAUCACCAAAACUCUAAGAGAGAAAAGCUAAAACUCAAGGAACCGUGCAAAAUCUCUCUCUCAGCGUACUCAAGUAUUCUCAAAGCGUAAAGAAGUGUUCUAAACGCGCCUACCUCAGAAUCUGUUAAGAGUUCCUUAUAUACCUGUGCAUUUUCUCUCUCCUGACAGUUACACCUCUGGACACGUGGCUCGCAUCCAUCUGUACACGUGUCACCAUCUGGAACGUCUUCUACUUCAGCGUCACUUCUACUCUUCAGGCUGUUCGACUAAGUUAUCCAUGCAAGGAGUAACUCGGUGCAUAGCUGCCUUGGAGCGCGAUCUCUUCUAGUGGCGAGCACGGGGUGUCACCAUGCACACCUUCUCUGUGGUCUCGCCUGCCGCUAUCAUGAUUUGCAUUACUUGCUCAUCGUGCAUGUUCUGGUAAACUGUUCCCUUGCCUCAACCUCUGGCCAGGGGAUGAUCAUCUGAUAACUUCAUCCUUCGUACUCGUGCCCUUUGAAAGCCUUGAACAAGCUUCCCUGAUCUUUCGGCGAUGUCCCCCUCUCGGCGAUCUCUAACCACUUGGUCGUCUAAGCUCGCAGACGGCGACUACGGCACAAGUCUGGUGACCGCCGGUUUAGAUAUGCUAGAGAUCGGAGCACGCCAACUUAACGAUUGGCGACUACACAGACCUCCCGAUGUACUUCCCUUCUGUCAGUCAGGUGUUCCGCUUAACACGCCUAUAUUAUCGCUCGCUGCCACGUCAUCACUCCCGACUACCUGGUCGGUAAAUAUAGUAUAAAUUCAUGUAAACUGAAGUUGCACCUCAGAUUUGAAACUUUCUUUGUUGGUUCUUAUUUUAUCUAUUUGUCCUUCUGUAGUUUUAGAGAGAGAAGAUGAAGAGAUCAAAGUGGUGCAAUAUUUCAAUUCAUCAUCUCUGUUUUUUACUUUCUAUUUCAGGUGCGCUUCUAUAAGCAUCAAAACAUAAGUGAUGUAUUAAAUGAUGACAACACUUCUAAAACCAUGCUCACAGAAUUCUUUGCACUAAAUUGUCGAGAUCCACAUUCUAGAAGUUAUUUGUGUAGAGAAAUUACACAACAUUAUUGUUGGCAUAACAGACAAAAGGAAUGGUACCCAAGAAGGUCAAGGAAGAAAGUUAUUGGUCGAAUUUAUACUGUAUCUCCUUCAGAAGGAGAAAAAUUCUUCUUGAGUAUUUUGUUAUCCCAUAUAAGAGGGCCAACCAGUUGGGAAUACCUAUUAUCACUGAAUCAAACAUAUUUCCCCACAUUUAAAAAAGCAGCUGAAAAAUGGGGAUAUUUUUAGAAAGUGAUAAUAGCAUUCAUGAAUGCUUAGUCAAAGCAUCAAGUUUACAGAUGUUCGAAGUCUUUAGAAUGAGUUUUGUAUCUUUAUGGCAGAAGAUUAUACUUCAAGAAGUACUUCUAUGGGCAUCAACGUUAAUAUGCUAUUGAGGGAUUUGAAUGAUCUUCUUAUUCAACAUGGUAAAACAAUCAAUAAUUUUGAUUUACCAGCAUUAACAUUGGAUGCAUUUGAAAAUACUUCAGUACCAAGAAUUAUACAAGAAGAGUUAUCAAUACAAAUACCUAAUGAAGAUGUUGACAAUGUACACAGAUUGAAUAUUGAUCAGUUGAUUGCUUUCAAUACCAUUUUAGAUGUAAUUCAUCGUAAGCAAAGUCAAGUAUUUUUUGUGGACGGACCAGGAGGAACCGGUAAAACAUUCCUUUACCGUACAUUAAUUGCAUAUUAUAAAAGUAAAGGAAAAAUUAUUUUAGCGACAGCCUCCUCUAGUAUAGCUACAACAUUAUUACCUGGUGGUCGAACUGCACAUUCUCGAUUUAAGAUACCUAUUAAUGUAGAAGUUGGUUCCUUUUGUUCAAUAAGCAAACAAUCUGAUCUUGCAAAGCUACUAAGAGAAACAACAGCAAUUAUUUGGGAUGAAGCACCAAUGACCAAUAGAUAUGCUUUAGAGGCAUUAGAUAGAUCAUUAAAGGACAUUCUAGAUUGUGAUGCUCCAUUUGGGGGGAAAGUGAUGAUAUUAGGAGGAGAUUUUCGCCAGGUACUACCAGUUGUUCAAAAGGGUACAAAGGCACAAAUGAUUUUUGCAUGUAUUGUUAAGUCUCUUUUAUGGAGUAACACAAAGGUAUUGCAUUUACAACAAAACAUGCGAUCAUUGCAAGAUCACAAUUUUGCAGAAUACCUCAUGCGCAUUGGAGAUGGGAUUGAACCUACAAUUCUUGAUGAUAUGGUGAAAAUACCCCAUGAACUAGCAAUACCAUGGGAAGGAGAAAGUUCAUUACAAAAACUUAUACAAGAAACNNNNNNNNNNNNNNNNNNNNNNNNNNNNNNNNNNNNNNNNNNNNNNNNNNNNNNNNNNNNNNNNNNNNNNNNNNNNNNNNNNNNNNNNNNNNNNNNNNNNNNNNNNNNNNNNNNNNNNNNNNNNNNNNNNNNNNNNNNNNNNNNNNNNNNNNNNNNNNNNNACACACAUAGUCUAUACCAACAAGAGUACUUGCACUCCAUUGCUCCAGGUGACUUGCCACCUCAUAUUUUAAAGCUUAAAAAAGGUGCACCAUUAAUGUUGUUGCGAAACAUAGACCCUAAAUCUGGGUUAUGUAAUGGGACGAGAUUAUUGUGUCGUGGGUUCUACAUGAACAUGUUGGAUAUUGAAAUCUUGACAGGUCAACAUGCUGGAAAAAGAUCUUUCUUACCAAGAAUUAAACAUAAAACAACAGAAAGUGCAGGUCUCCCAUUUGUGCUUAUUAGGAAACAAUUUCCUAUGAAAUUAAGUUUUGCCAUUACUAUAAAUAAAUCACAGGGGCAAACUAUACCUAAUGUUGGAAUUUACCUUCCACGACACGUUUUUAGUCAUGGUCAAUUAUAUGUUGCACUAUCAAGAGGUGUUUCUCAAGCUUCAACAAAAAUUCUUAUUAAAGAAGGAUACCUUGAAGGAGAAGAUGGAAAUUUUACCAAAAAUGUUGUUUAUAAAGAUAUUUUAUUAUCACAAAAUCAGGUAUUGUUCGUUUUAUUUAUGUGUGACGCAUAAAUAUAAGUAUAGGUGAUUAUUCUACUGACAUUAUUUCUUAUAUAUAUAUAUAUAUAUAUAUAUCCAAGUUAACAUAAUAUACAAGGAGCCCUUACAGUUGAAUGAAGAUAUCAAAACAAAGCAUUCACACAUUUAUCUACACAAACAGGUAAUUAUCAAUAUAUGUAUAUUGCAUAUAUAUGUGUGUAUUUUGCAAUUUAUUCAUAAUUGACAUUCUUUCAUAGGAAACAAAAUUUGUAAAGACUGGAACAAUUAGAAGGAUGAUCAAUCACUCACAUUGAUUAAGCCAAUUGACAUCAAGGUAUAAUGAUUUUACAUAAUGAUGAUGAUAAUGAUAUUUUUUCAUUCAAUGUACUAUAAAUUUAUAAUGUUAUAAAUAAGUGUACAAAUAAUAAUAUUUUUUAAUUUUUAAUUUUAAUUUGAAUAUUAAAUAUAAAUACAUAUAAAUGAAAAAAAUAAAAAAUGCGGAUACACAGGCGCGCCCGCUAGUAAUAUUAAUAAUAAUUUAAUAAUAAUGUUAAUAAUAAUUUAAUAAUAUGAGUAUAAUUUAUUUUAUUAUUAUUAUUAAUAAUUAUAUUAAUAUGUAUAUAUUAUAUUAAUAAUAAGUAUAAUAAAAAUGAUAAUAUGACUAAAGAAUUUGUUUGGUCUAGUGGUUAAUGCUUCCCUGGUCACUGGAAGGACUUGAGUUCGUUUACAAGCUGUAUAUUGUUUCCAAUCAAGCCAUAUCCACUAUUUAUAGCACCAUUUGAGUUUGUAAAUGGCUUCUGUAGUAAACCAGAUCUCAAUCCAAUACCUAUUUGACUGUUGAUGUUCUGCAAUAAUAUUACAUGACUAUUUUGGCCACCAACAUGCUGCUUCUGCUACUGAAGUUGUGACAGUGGUACCAUAGUAGACUCUACACCCACUACAAGAAAAUGAUGGAUUUGUGUGAGACAGAAAUGGACGCAAAACUUGAAAAACGGACGCUUAUGUGUCUGCUAAGCAUCCCACGAAAAAACCCUGGAAACAAAUCGAAAUUAGCGUUGGACGCAUUUUAUGCCUCCACUUAUGUCAAUUCACCUAAACACUUGCACCGGCACUUUGAUCGAAAUCAAAAAUCAGUAAUGCAAGGUAAUAUUUUUCUCACUCUUUUUAAUUUUAUUUUAUCAAGGAAUGAGACUAAGACCUUCACCUAUAACCCAACACCUGUAUUAAGCUUCAUAACCUUUUAGGACUAUGUUUUUUUGUGAUCAGUAUACACAUAUGUGUGUCUGUAUACACAUUACUGAUAGCAAAGGGUAAUCAAUGUAAAAGAAAGUUGUAGAAUAGGGUACAAAAGAAAUUGAUGAUUAAGUUUGUGUAUGAAGUGAAAGCUGUUAGAACAACUAGAUCAUCUCUUUUUUUCUGUCAUUGGAUGUUUUUUUUCCCUUCUCUUAUAUUGUUGAGUUGAUAUGUUCGCUUGGGCAUAUAUAUGUUCAGCUUGGUUAAACUGAAAAAUGGCAGGAGUUUAUUCGAGAGCUACAAAAAUUGAUCCGUGAUGUCCAGGUGAAUGAUUAUAGAACACCUUUUGCAUAGAUAUUUUUAACCAUUUAGUGUUCUAUGUGUUGUGCAAUAUAAUGUUUUCAUACACUUGUUCGAUUACUUGUUGAGUCCUUGUUUUACAAUGGAAAACUUUAUUAGGUUCAAGUUGUUAUUUAUGUCUUUAUUUGAGUUAGUGAGGAUAUUUAGUAUUUUUUUUUCUAAAUAUGAGACUAUAUAUAUUUGAAUAAAAAUUGUCAUUUGUUCGGUCUCUUUUGUUUUUGGUGAAGUAUUUUUUUGGAUAAUGAUACAUGGACAACCUAAAAUUUUUAUAGAACCAUAUUACAACUCCCAAUACUAUUAUUUUAAUAUUUUUUUAUAUCAUUUAAUUACAAAAUUUACCCUUUAUUAUAUAUAUUUAUUUCUAAAUCCAUCACAUCAAGGGUUGUAUACAACUCUUGGAAUUGUCAACCUCUCAUUUUCUUUUUUUUUUCCAAUUAAUAUUGUUGUUAGCUCUUCCUUUUUCUGAUGCGGUUCUUCAUUUCUUAGGUAUAUAAUUUAAUUAAUUAAAGUUCAAUAGAUUUCGAAUUGAUUCCUUUGGUGUUGCUAAAAGUGAAAAAAAUUGAUAAUCGAACUAACAUUCUUGAUAUAGUUUCAGCUUUUGGUUUGUUCUUGAAAAAGAUUCAUUGUCUUGCAGACAUUUCUUGAGCUGGAAGAAUUAUUAAUUCUUUCUAACACAUGAGUUGCACUAUAUGCAUUCAAAAUUGUAAUGGGUUAAGAGUUUAUCAUUGUUCACUUUUUGGUUUGGAAAUUUUAUCUUUAUGAAUAGACUUUUUGAAGUUUCAUAAUUUGUUAUGAUAUAGAUAUUGUAAUUGUGGUCCAGGCUCAGACUCUUUUUAAGAAGGAGAGGUUAAGAAGUACCAAUUGAAUUACUAAAUAAUGUUGGUACGCUUCAGUUUGAAAAGAUUCAAGCUUGAUUUUUUUAGUUGUAACUUAUAUGUCGCUCAUUUUUUUCUCAACAUAAUAGAUGUUGGAUAGCUGAAUUUAGAGGGUAAAUUUCCUAUCUAGCACCAUUUACACUUUUAUUUCCCCAUCUAACACUCUUUUGUUUUUAUUUCCUUAUCUAGCACCCUUUUGUUUUUAUUUUCCUAUCUAACACCCUUUUAUUUUUUAUUUCCCUAUCUAGCACCAUUUCAAAAAUAAAUAAAUAAAUAAUAAAUUAAAAAAAUUGAUAAUUUUAAUUUUCAAUGCAUUAAAAAAUAAAUAUUUUUAAUGUUUAAAAUAGUUAGAAAUAUAAUUAAUGAAUAAAAAAUGAGUUUUUACAAAAUAAAAUUUAAAAAAAUAAUAAAUUUAAAAUGUUUAGUUUAAAAAUUAUUUUUUUAAGAAUGAAGAAAAUAAAAAAUUAAACUCUACAACAACAUAAAAGUUGAAUCUAUAAACAUAAAUUAGUAUUUAUUUUUAUUAUUAUUGAUGAUGUAAUCAUGUUAAUUUAAAGUAAAAAAUACAGGACAUAUUUAUAAAAAAAUCAAGUUGAAUAAGAACUGAUAUGGACAUAAGAGAACAACAUGACUGAACAAAAAAAAUAUUCAUAUUGUCAAACACCAGGACACAUCUAAAGAACCUGUCCCAGCAUUACUGGAUUGUGCAAUUCUCGUCAUUAAUUAUACCAUUGAAGAAAAUAUUAAAUGAAUGACCAUCUUUAAUUUAUUUUCCUUUUUAUGACCAACAUAUACUUAUUUAGUAUCGCCUUAUAUCUCUUAUAUUUAUCUUAUUUGGAUUUUUUUUAUAUAUUUUAUCUUUAUCUUAUUUUGUUUUGCCUUUAUUUUAUAUCUUUUAUGUUUUUAGUUAUUAUUUUUUUUCUACCAUUCUUGAUUUAUUUAUGUUUUUAUUUUAUUUUAUUGUUGCUGUUUUUAUUUUCUAGACUUAUUUAUUUUUGCAUUUUUUUCUUCUCAUUUUUAAGUAUUAAGUGUAACAUUUGCUUUAGUUUUUGUUUUAGGAUUUUGCAUUUAAGGUAGACACUUCAAUAUUAUUUAUGUGUCCACUAUUAAUUAAUACUAAUUGACUUUGGUUUUUUUAUAAUUAUGUCCUGUAUUUUUUACUUGAAAUUAACAUGAUUACAUCAUCAAUAAUAAUAAAAAUAAAUACUAAUUUAUGUUUAUAGAUUCAACUUUUAUGUUGUUGUAGGGUUUAAUUUUUUAUUUUCUUCAUUCUUAAAAAAAAUAAUUUUAAACUAAACAUUUUAAAUUUAUUAAUUUUUUAUUUUUAUUUUGUAAAAACUCAUUUUUUAUUCAUUAAUUAUAUUUCUAACUAUUUUAAACAUUAAAAAUAUUUAUUUUUUAAUACAUUCAAAAUUAAAAUUAUCAAAAAAUAAAUAAAUUAUUUUUUAUUUAUUUUUAAAAUAGUGCUAGGUAGGGAAAUAAAAAAUAAAAGGGUGUUAGAUAGGGAAAUAAAAACAAAAGGGUGCUAGAUAGGGAAAUAAAAACAAAAUGGUGCUAGUUAAGGAAAUAAAAGUGUAAAUGGUGUUAGAUAGGGAAUUUACCCGAAUUUAGAAGGAGAAAAUAUUAAUUUUAUUAUUCAAUAAUGAGAAUAUAGUGGGGUAAAUUCCCUAUCUAGCACCAUUUACACUUUUAUUUCCCUAUCUAGCACUCUUUUGUUUUUAUUUCCCUAUCUAGCACCCUUUUGUUUUUAUUUCCCUAUCUAGCACACAAGUAAUGUUGGGACAUGUUCUUUAUGUAUGUCCUGGUAUUUGACAAUAUGAACAUUUUUGUGUUCGAUCAUGUUGUUCUCUUAUGUUCAUAUCAGUCCUUAUUCAAUUUGGUUUUUUUAAAAUUAUAUCCUCUAUUUUUUACUUGAAAUUAACAUGAUUACAUCAUCAAUAAUAAUAAUAAUAAAAAUAAAUAUUUUUAUGUUUAUAGAUUCAACUUUUAUGUUGUUGCAGAGUUUAAUUUUUUAUUUUUUUUAUUCUUAAAAAAAUAAUUUUUAAACUAAACAUUUUAAAUUUAUUACUUUUUUAUUUUUAUUUUGUAAAAACUCAUUUCUUUAUUCAUUAAUUAUAUUUCUAACUAUUUUAAACAUUAAACAUAUUUAUUUUUUAAAGCAUUCAAAAUUAAAAUUAUCAUUUUUUUAAAUUUAUUAUUUAUUUAUUUUUGAAAUGGUACUAGAUAGGAAAAUAAAAAAUAAAAGGUUGUUAGAUAGAGAAAUAAAAACAAAAGGGUGCUAGAUAGGAAAAUAAAAACAAAAGAGUGCUAGAUGGAGAAAUAAAAAUGUAAAUGGUGCUAGACAGGGAAUUUACCCGAAUAUAGUACUACUAUAAGAACUAUUUAACAAUAUUGUUUGAGAGAAUGUAGUUCGUAGAUUGUGCAUAUCAUCCAUAUAUACAAACUUUGGUUUAUUUGAAUAAACUUCUCCACAAGUUUUUUGUUUUUAUAAUAACUUGGCCAAAAGCUUUUGUUUAGGUAAGGUAUUCUUAGCUUAUUAAAAAUCUUAUUACGUUUUUAUUUUUUUAUCUGGUAAGUGUUUACAAAAAAAUUUAUCAAAACAGGCCUUUAGCAAAAACUAUUUCCUUUCAUAGUUUAAUAUUAAUUGAGUGCAACUCCUUAGAAAAAAAAAAUACCCAUACCUGUAUUCAUAAUUGUAUAAGAAUUCUAUUCAAUGUAGAAUAUCAAUGUAGAAUAGGUUCCAUUUUAGAUAUAAGUAAAUCUGCAUUAGCUAAAUAAAAAAAACAUUAUCUAAUUUUUUAAAAUGAUAGCAUUGUUUAUUUUCAUAAAUUUUGUUUGAUAUAAUUAUCAAUAUAAUAAAUUUACUUUUUUAUAAUAAGAAUCAAACCUAAAUAUUUAUGUUUAUUAUUCUAACAUCGAUCACUAAAUGGAUCUUAAUGAAUAAGAUGAAUGAUUUAGUAAGUAAUAUGUAUUUCUUAUAUCAAUAUAAUUAUUUGGUAUUAAUACGAAAUUAUAUCUAUGUAGUGUUAUGAAACAUUGGAAAGUAAAUAAAAAAAGUUGAAGGGUACUAAUGUAUUAAUGUUAGGUGGUAGAUGAAGAACAAAGGGUCUGAGAAAAUUGUUGGACUAUUUUUUUUAUUUAUCACCUACUUUUUUAUAUAUACACCUCCUAGAAAUAAUGGGGGUUUGAAAAUUGUCGGUAAUAAUGAGGGUUUGAAAACCAUCAGAAAUAACGGGGGUUUCCAAAACCACUGACAUAACGAGGUUUUCCAAAACCAUCGGAAAUAACGGGGAUUUCCAAAUCGUCGGGAGUAAUAGGGGUUUCCAAACUGCUGAAAAGUAAUUAUUUUCUAGGAGUUCGUAAAACUGCCAAUAAUCUGUUAGCGAUGUUGGAUCUAACCGGAGAAAAACAAAUAACGUACUUAACAAAGGUUAAAACCGUCAAAAAUGCAAAAAAUAACCUUGUUAAAAACAAUUUUUAUUUUUAUUUUUUAAUCUCUUUUAACAUUUCAAAAUACUAACUAAAAUACAUUUUAUUUUCGUAAAAGAAAGUAUUUCCCAUAAUAUAAAACAAGGAAGAAAAAAUAAAGAUAAAUAUAUUAUUGAAAUAAAAGAACUAAAAUGAGAGUUUUUUUAUAAUAUAAUGUAAUAGUAUAUAUUAACAUUCUCUCCUUCCCCUCAUAAUUUUUAUUGCGCUAAAAUAUAUUGAGUAUAAAAUAAUACCUUUAUCAAUUAAUAAUUUUAUAUAAUAUUUUUAUACAUUCAUAUAAAAUGUUAAUAUUGAAACAUAAUAAUAAAAUUAUUAAAAAAGUUAUCUUUUCAUAUAUUUUAAAAUAUAUUAUGUGUUAUUAAAAAGAGAUAUUAAAUUAAUUUAAAUUAAUAUAAAAUUUUGUAGGUACAAUCUAUUUUAAAAAAACUUUAAAUUUAAUUAUUUGUAAGUUUUUAGAAAUUAUAAUGGGAUUAAUGUAAUAAUUAGUAUAAUAUAUAUAUAUAUAUAGUUUACUAUUCACAUAGGACUAGGGGUGGCAAAGUGGGGCAAACCGUGCGGGCUAGUCCGCGGCCCGCUAAAAAAACACGGGACGGGUUGUUUAUUUCAACCCGCUGGCACGUUUAGGCCCGCCUCACAUAACCCGCAACCCGCACGGGCCAAGUGCGGGUCAGAGCGGGUUGGCUCGCAUAACUUUAAAAUGUAUAAUUUUUUUUCUACAUCCCCAUAUUUUUUUCAUGUAGCCUCAUAUUUUACAUUCUGAAAUUUUUAAUAACAUCUUAUUACGCAUGUUUCAUUAAAAUAAUAUUAUGAAACCAUUUACCUAAUGCAUCUAAAUAAAAUAAAUUCAAAUUUUGUAUUUUCUUUUUUCUUAAUAAAUAUGUCUUAUGCGGACUAGUUCGCAAGCCCGCGAGCCAACCCUUAUAUAAGACGGAUUAAAAAAAUCAACCCACAAAUUUUAUGCGACGGCCAAGACCCGCAUUGCCACCACCACUUUUCAUAGGACACAUUCAUAAUUGAGAAGGUUUUGGACUAUUUGAUGUCUGUUUUGGUUUGACUACCUUAGGUUUUAAUCAAAUUGGUUAAAAUAUUGUUAUCAAUGGUGUGAUUCCAAAUAUAAAAUAACAUUAAGCAAUUUAAUUUCAUAUUUAUAAAGAUAAAAUAUAGCUAGUAUUAUGUAUGGUGUAAAAUAUUUUUAAAUUUAUUUAAUUCCAAACUACUUAUAUAAAUGCAUAGGAGAUUAGUGUGUCACUAAGACCCACAAUGGUAGUGUUGUGGAAAUUGUAAUAGUGUGGACUCCAAGAAAAAAAAGCAGAUAGAGUGACCAAAAACUCAUCUAUGGAUGCUGCUGGUGCUACCCUUUUGGGUUACAUCUUCUCCUCCUCCUUAGCUUUCCUUCUUUUCACUCUACUUUUGAAGUCCUUUGGCCUUUUACGAACCACAAAUGGCAGUGUUGGACCUCCACCAUCGCUUCCCAUCAUCGGUCAUCUCCACCUUAUGGGUUCCAUCGUACCAAAAUCAUUUCAAGCUCUGGCUCGCCGUUAUGGCCCUCUCAUUCAGCUCCGUUUAGGUGCCUCAACAUGCGUAGUUGUCUCCAAGUCGCCAAAGAAGUCAUGAAAACACAUGACCUCAAUUUCUGUAACCGACCCCAGUUUGGAUCCUCAGAGAACUACUUAUACAAAGGCUCUGAUUUCAUCACUGUGCCAUAUGGUCCUUAUUGGCGCUUCAUCAAAAAGCUUUGCGUUACUCAACUUCUCUCCACCGCGCAGCUUGGGCGCUUACGGCACAUCCGGCAGCAGGAGAUAGAGAAGCUCUUGAAAUCUCUCCUGGAGUGUUCCUCUGAAGCCAGGGAAACGGAUUUGAGCCGUGAUCUUUCUGCUUUGACCAACAAUGUCCUGUGUCGGAUGGCCAUGAAUACGACCUGUUUGGAUGACGUUAAUGAUGGUGAGGAUAUUAUUAGCCUGGUAACAGAGUUUAUGCACUUGGGAGCCAAGUUGAGCAUGGGUGAGGUGUUGGGACCUUUGGGAAAGUUUGACUUGUUUGGUUAUGGGAAGAAGCUUGUCAGAAUAGUCGGUAAAUUCGACCAGAUUUUGGAGCGCAUCUUACAGGAACAUGAAGCGAACAACUCCGAAAGAGGGGACAUGAUGGAUAUUCUAUUGCAAGUCCACAAAGAUCCAAAUGCUGAGAUGAGGUUAGCAAGGAAUGAUAUCAAGGCCUUCUUCCUGGUAAGUUCUUAUCUUUUGUGUUGGAGAUCCCACAUCGACUAGAGAUAAGGACCUUUCAUUGUAUAUAAGUGGAUGCAAACCUCACCUUAUUGAGCCAGUUUUAUGGGGUUGAGUUAGGCUUAAAGUCCACUUCGUAAUAUGGUAUCAGAGCCAGGUUCAAAUUCUCACGAGCUUCCUCGGCAAGAAGUUGGAGAUGGAACAACAUCUGUCAUCAUUCUUGCUGGUGAGAUGCUUCAUGUUGCCGAUGCAUUCAUUGACAAAAUUCACCCUACAGUUAUUUGCCGAGAGGAUGCUCUUUCUGUUCUUGACAAAAUUGCAAUGCCUAUUGAUGCUCAGGAUCGAGGUAUAAUGCUGGGGCUAGUAAAAAACUGCAUAGGUACCAAAUUCACAGGUCAAUUUGGGGAUUUAAUUGCUCUGAUUUAGCUAUUGAUGCUACUACAACAGUAGGUGUUGAUAUUGGCCAAGGUUUGAGAGAUGUAGAUAUUAAAAAUUAUAUUAAGGUUGAGAAGGUCCCUGGUGGGCAGCUGGAGGAUUCUAGAGUACUCAAGGGAGUUAUGAUAAACAAAGAUGUGGUUGCCCCUGGCAAAAUGAGGAGAAAGAUUGUUAACCCACGCAUCAUUCUUCUUGAUUCUCCCCUUGAGUAUAAAAAGGGUGAAAACCAAACAAAUGCUGAACUGCUCAAAGAAGAAGACUGGAGUCUUUUAUUGAAGAUGGAAGAAGAAUAUAUUGAGGAGCUAUGCAUGCAGAUAUUGAAGUUUAAGCCUGACUUGGUAAUCACGGAGAAGGGUCUGAGUGAUUUGGCUUGCCAUUAUCUGAGCAAGCAUGGAGUUGCUUGCUCAGAUAAUAAUAGAAUUGCUAAGGCAUGUGGUGCUGUUAUUGUGAACAGACCAGAUGAAUUGCAGGAGUCUGAUGUUGGUACUGGUGCUGGGUUAUUUGAGGUUAAGAAAAUUGGAGAUGAGUACUUUUCAUUUAUUGUUGAUCACAGAGCUAGUAAGGAUCUCUUAAAUGAAGUUGAAAGAAAUCUACAGGAUGCCAUGUCUGUUGCAAGGAACAUAAUAAAAAAUCCAAAACUUGUUCCUGGAGGUGGUGCAACAGAGUUGACAGUGUCAGCUGCCUUGAAACAGAAGAGUUCUUCUAUCGAGGGCAUUGAAAAAUGGCCGUAUGAAGCUGCUGCGAUUGCUUUUGAAUCCAUCCCACGAACUUUGGCACAAAAUUGUGGAGUAAAUGUCAUCCGGACUAUGACAGCUCUACAAGGAAAACAUGCAAAUGGAGAAAAUACAUGGAUUGGUAUAGAUGGAAAUACUGGCAGCAUCACUGACAUGAAAGAGGGCAAGAUCUGGGAUGCCUACAAUGUGAAGGCGCAAGCUUUUAAGACUGCCAUUGAAGCUGCUUGCAUGCUUCUGAGGAUUGAUGAUAUAGUGAGUGGGAUCAAGAAGAAGCAGGCCCUGGAGCUUCAGGUUCUUCAAAACCCAAGAUUGAGACCGAGGCAGAUGCUGACAAUGAGCAAAUCCUUCCUGAUUGAGAAUCUAGGUUCAACUGACAUUGCUUUUUGAUAGAGUUAAUGACGUACUAGUUUCUUGGUCUUCAUUAAAUCUUAUUACUAUUAGAAGUUUUGGGUCCUUGACUGGGUUUUUGUUUUUUGUGCCUUGUACUUUUUGCAAGAGCAAAUUGUGAACUUUGUUUAUUUUAAAUACUAUAUUAACUGGUGUGUGAUUUAUUGGGUGUUUUUGUCUACUGUUGAGAUUUUGUGCCGGGGUCAAACAUGCUAGUUUCAUCAAUUUUGUUGAGUCGGUUUUAUGGGGUUGAGUUAGGCUUAAAGUCCACUUCGUAAUAUGGUAUUAGAGCCAUUUCGAAUCUAUCCUAGCGAGUAUUUGUGUUGGACCUAUCGUGCCACCCGCUAUCGGGCCGCUAUCGGAUCACCCAAAAUAUAUAGUCUCACGCACGAGUUGGCAGUCUCGGCGUAAGGGGUGUGUUGGAGAUCCCACAUCGACUAGAGAUUAGAGCCUUUCAUUGUAUAUAAAUGAGUGCAAACCUCAACCCUAUCAGCUGGUUUUAUAGGGUUGAGUUAGGCUUAAAGUCCAUUUUAUAACAUGGUAUUAGAGCCACUCUUUCUUAAUAUUUUGCCUUGGAUAUUCACUGUUGUUUUUUAUGUAAAAAAGUUUCACAUUUUUAGAACGGAGUAGAGUAGAAAAGUGACUAUAGUUUUUGUGGUGUGUUGCAAGGAUAUUUUCCUAGCGGGAACAGACACGUCUUCAACAGCGGCCCAAUGGGCCAUGGCAGAAAUCAUGAACAGGUGUUGACGAAGGUGAGGGAAGAGAUUGAUGCAGUGGUGGGUUUUAGCAGGUUGGUCACUGAAUCAGACCUUCCAAAUCUACCUUAUCUCCAAGCUGUUGUGAAGGAAGUGCUAAGACUGCACCCUACGGCACCGUUUGCUCUUAGAGAAUCGGCAGAGGACUGCACCAUCAACGGGUAUGAUAUUAAGAGUCAGACACGGACACUGAUCAAUGUGUACGCCAUCAUGCGGGACCCAGAAGAGUGGGCGAACCCAGAGGAGUUUAUACCAGAAAGGUUCUUGGUAGACGACAGUGAUGAGACAAGGGUGGUGAUUUCAGGUACCUUCCAUUUGGAUCUGGGAGGAGGGGAUGCCCUGGGUCUUCACUUGCCUUAACGGUUAUACAAGGGACAGUUGCAUCACUGAUCCAAUGUUUUGAAUGGAAGACGAAAGGGGGAGAGAGGGUUUGUUUGGAAGAAGGAUCAUCAUUUUCUACAGGAUUGGCAAAACCACUUGUUUGUUAUCCUGUCACUCGUUUUAAUCCUUUUUAAUUCUACACUGCUGUUAUCUCUAUCAAAAGUACUGUUCUGUGAUCUAUUAGUAUGUUGUUUUUAGGUUCAUCAUCUACUCAUUCAGCAUGGGUGUUGUUUGUUACCACUGUUGUCAUGUAACUGUGAUUUUUUAAACAUAUUUAUAGUUUCUGCCAAAUAAUGAGGUGUCUCAUUGUGCAUUGUGCUGUCUUCAGAAUAAGUUGGGAAUAAGCUGCCAAAAGAACAAAAGAUAUAGCGAUUAAAUAAUGAAGUAAUCAAUUAAUUAACCAAAAUAACUAAAGGACAAAUCAAUAAGAAUAUUCGUUUUAAUUACUUAAUAUCAUUGUUUCAUAGUUUAGUAAAAAAAAUUAAUUACUUGAAAAAUAAAAACUUUAGAUUUAAAAGUUAUUUUAUUAUUUUAAACUGAAAAAUACUUUUAUAUUAAAAUUUAUUGAAUACAGUCAGAUCUGGCUUAAAGAAAUUGUAUCAGUUUGGUUGGACUCAUACUUUAAUGAUCAAAAAGUCUAGUUUCUUUCUAUCAUAUCGGAUACAUUUUUUAUUCAAAUUAAGUACACAAAUAAAAUUAAUUUAAUUUAAUAUAAACCUAAAUUCAUUUAGAUUGUUGGCUGAAUGGACUGAGCUAAAAUCAACCUACUUCAAAAUUCCUAAAGUAUUGAUCAGGAGUGCCUCAUUGAAAUAACAUGAUAUGAUAUUAUUCACUUAUUCAAUGUAGCUUUUUCCAUAAUCAGUUGUGACUAUAGCCAAGGCAUAGAUAUAAAUACAAAAAAUAAAAAAAUCUCAUGGCAGUAAUGUUGUUCUUCUAUUGUAUGACCCUCCAGGAUACCAAAAUGUUGCAAAGUCAGCAGCCCGCUAAUUAAUAUUAUAGAAAAUAAUUAGAUACAAUGAAUUGAUAGAAUCCAAGUUCGAAACAAAAAUAAAAUACUUUGAUUGGUUAAAAGUUUUUCUAUAAACACUAAUGACGGAAGAAAAAAUGGCUUUUCCGAAAAGCUAAUUUUAAUUAUGCACAACUAUGCACAUAAGCUUAAUUUUAGUUUAUAGAAAAAGUUUAUUUAAUUAUUUUGUUUAUCUUCGUCUUAAAUAUAAGUACUAAUGGAGAUGUUUAUCUAAACAGGAUUUAGAACAACUCGUAAGAUGAAGUGUAGCUAUUAUACCUGGAUGGAGAAUAGGAAAAAGCAUGCAAGGCCUAACCAUGAAUGGAGGUUGUAGAAAUUGUCAAUGCCCUUGUCAAUGUGAAACAUCCAAGCAACCCAGAUACCGAUCAAGUUCAAAAUGAAAGCAACAAAUUGUAAGGUGAGAUGAUUGAUCUUUUGAAGUUUUUAGUUCCAGAUAGAGUCUUGUAUGCAAGCAUCCCUGUAAAUUGCCAGAAUAAAAGAAGGUAGUUUCUAACAUGAAAGUAUCUAUUGAUAUUGAUUUACAUUCAGAUUAUGAAAAAAAUCAUACAUGGAGACAAAACAAACAUCAAAUCUUAUUUGAACUUAAGUACAUGAUAAAAUACUUAAAUGUAGUUAUUAUUCAAUCAAAUUUUGUGUUGAAAAUAUUUGCAGUUAAAUGAAUGUAGUUGAGUGUAGUGUAAAAUUUGUAGAACAAAUAUAAAUUAUUCUCAUGUGAAGCUGAAGUUCUUAUCUCUUGAAGUUUGGUGUGAUUUGAACAUAUGGAACUUGCAAAAUCAUAAUUAUGAACACAUGGCACAGGUAUAUGGAUAAUAGAAAUUUGUGCGUGAUUUCAUAGUUUGCGUGGUUAAGGUAAGGCUCUUGAGAUGAAUUGAAUGCAUUGGUUAACUUUAAACAUGUUAUCAGCUGGUGACAUGCUUGACAUUUCCUUAAAUAGAUUUGAUGGUAAUAUUAGGUAUUAUCAUUCUUCAGCAAUCCUUACACUUUUAUUUUCUUGUCCUUCUUUGUAGAGUCUAUGUAUUGCAGGUUUGUCUAAUGGUUAUCAACAGUCUUCUACCAGUUUUUCUGUUGCCUCAGGGGGGACAUUUCGUCAAUGGGGUGCAGAGAACAUUUCGUUGAUUCCCAGUCCUGUAUUCUCAGUCAACAGGAGUCACUCAUAUUAUCACAUAUGAACAUAGAUUCUAAUACUAAUGGAGGUGCCUUUCCGGUGUAGAGUCUACUAUGGUACCACUGUCACAACUUCAGUAGCAGAAGCAGCAUGUUGGUGGCCAAAAUAGUCAUGUAUUAUUGCAGAACCUCAACAGUCAAAUGGGUAUUGGACUGAGAUCUGGUUUACUACAGAAGCCAUUUACAAACUCAAAUGGUGCUAUAAAUAGUGGAUAGGGCUUGAUUGGAAACAAUAUACAGCUUGCAAACGAACCUGGCACUUCUUCUGACAGCUAUGCCUCCACUUAUGCAAAUUCACCUAAACACUUGCACCGGCACUUUGAUCAAAAUCAGAAACAAGUAAGGUAAUAUUUUUCUCACUCCUUUUAAUUUUGUUUUAUCAAGGAAUGAGCCUAAGACUUUUACCUGUAACCUAACACCUGUAUUAAGCUUCAUAACCUUUUAGGACUAUGUUUUUUGUGAGUUUACACAUCUGUGUGUCUGUUUACAUAUUGCAUGUUCUGUAUUGAAUGAUAGCACAGGGUAAUCAAUGUAAAAGAAAGUUGUAGACUAGAGUACAAAAGAAAUUGAUGAUUAAGUUUGUAUAUGAACUGAAAGCUGUUAGAACAACUAGAUCAUCUCUUUUUAUCUGUCAUUGGAUGUUCUUUUUUCCUUCUCUCACAUUGUUGUGUUGAUAUGUUGUCUUUUCUUAUAGGCACUUGGGCAUAUAUAUGUUCAGCUUGGUUAAAGUGAAAAAGGGCAGGACUUUAUUAGGAGAGCUACAAAAAUGAUUUGGGGAUGCUCACGUGAAUGCUUCUAGAACACCUUUUGCAUUGAUAUUUUUAAAUUUUUUUGUGUUCAGUGUUGUGCAAUAUAAUAUUUAUAAUAUUUGCUACACUUGUUUUGAUUACUUGUUGAGUUAAUGUUCUAUAAUGAAAAACUUUAUUAGGUUAAGUUGUUAUUUAUGUUUUUUAUUUGAGUUAGUGGGAAUAUUUAGUAUUUUUUUUAAAUAUGAGAUUAUAUAUAUUUGAAUAAAAAUUGUCAUUUGUUCUAUCUCCCUUGUUUUUGGUGAAGUAUUUUUUUUUCCAAUUAAUAUUGUUGUUAGCUCUCUUCCUUUUUCUGAUGUGAUUCUUCAUUUUUUGGUAUAUAAUUUCAUUAAUUAAAAUUCAAUAGAUUUCGAAUUGAUUCAUUUGCUGUUGCUAAAAGUGAAAAAAUUGAUAAUUGAACUAUAACAUUCUUGAUAUAGUUUCAAUUUUUGGUUUGUCAAAAAAGAUUCAUUGUCUUGCAGACAUUUCUUGAGCUGAGAGAAUUAUUAAUUCUUUAUGACACAUGAGCUGCACUAGAUCCAUUAAAAAAUGUAAUGGAUAUAGAGUUUAUCAUAUGUUCUUUUUUUGGUUUGGAAAUUUUAUAAUUUAUCAUAUGAAUGGACUUUUGAAGUUUCAUAAUUUGUUAUGAUAUAGAUAUUGUAAUUGUGGUCCAGACUCAAACUCUUUUUAAGAAGGGAGGUCAAGAAGUACCAAUUGAAUUACUAAAUAAUGUUGGUACACCUCAGUUUGAAAGGAUUCAAGUUUGAUUUUUUUAGUUGUAACUUAUAUGUCACUCCUUUUUUUCAACAUAAUAGAUGUUGGAUAGUUGAAUUUAGAAGGAGAAAAUAUUGAUUUUAUUAUUCAAUAAUGAGAAUAUAGUGCUAAUAUAAGGACUAUUUUACAAUAUUGUUUGAGAGAAUGUAGUUCGUAGAUUUUGCCUAUCAUCCAUAUGUACAAACUUUUGAUUUAUUUGAAUAAACUUCUCCACAAGUUUUUUGUUUUUAUAUUAACUUGUCUAAAAGUUUUUGUUUAUUUAUUUUUUAUUUUUGCAUAAGGUAGUCUUAGCUUAUUAAAAAUCUUAUUGCAUUUUUUUUUAAUUUUUGUCUCUCUUAAGUGUUUACAGAAAAAUUUAUCCAAACAAGCUUUAGCAAAGACUAUUUGCUUUCCUAGACUAAUAUUAAUUGAGUGCAACUCCUUAGACAAUGAAAUACCCAUACCUAUAUUCAUAAUUGUAUUAGAAUUCUAGUCAAUGUAGAAUAUCAAUGUAGAAUAGGUUCUAUCUUAGAUAUAAGUAAAUCUGCAUUAGCUAAAAAAAAACAUUAUCUAAAUUUUUUUAAAUGAUAGCAUUGUUUAUUUUCAUAAAUUUUGUUUGAUAAAAGUUAUCAAUAUAAUAAAUUUACUUUUUUAUAAUAAGAAUCAAACCUAAAUAUUUAUGUUUAUUAUUCCAACAUCAAUAACUAAAUGGAUCUUAAUGAAUAAGAUGAAUGAUUUAAUAAGUAAUAUGUAUUUCUUAUAUCAAUAUAAUUAUUUGGUAUUAAUACGAAAUUAUACCUAUAUAGUAUUAUGAAACCUUGAAAAGUAAAUAAAAAAAAGUUGAAGGGUAGUAAUGUAUUAAUGUUAGGUGGUAGAAGAAGAACAAAGGGUCUGAGAAAAUUGUUGGACUAUUUUGGUUCAACAUUUUUAUUAUUUAUCAUCUAAUUUUUUAUAUAUACACCUCUUAGAAGUAAUGGAGGGUUUGAAAACUGCCGGUAAUAAUGGGAGCUUGAAAACCAUCGAGAAUAACGGGGAUUUUCAAAACCAACAGAAAUAACGGGAGUUUCCAAAUCGUCGGGAGUAACGGGGAUUUCCAAACUGCUGAAAAGUAAUUAUUUUCUAGGAGUUCGUAAAAACCGUUGGUAAUCCGUAGGCGAUGCUGGAUCUAUCAGAAGAAAAGCAAACCAUAGAUAACGUACUUAACAAAGGUUAAAACCGUCGAAAAUGCAAAAAGUAAUUCCAUUAAAAACAAUUUUUUUUGUAGUAUUUUUUAAUCUCUUUUAACAUUUCAAAAUACUAACUAAAAUAUAUUUUAUUUUCUUAAAAGAAAGUAUUUCCCAUAAUAUAAAACAAGGAAGAGAAAAUAAAGAUAAAGAUAUUAUUGAAAUAAAAUGAGUGUUUUUUAUUAUUGAAAUAUAUUAUUGAAGGAAGAAGUAAGAGGACAUGGAAGCUGUCUGGCUGCAGAGACCGGGGGUUUUCUUUGGCAAAUUCUGAUGUUAUCAAAAUGCAGCUAUCUUUGUCAUGAUGAAAAGGGAUGGGAGGGAGUUCUUUUUUCACAUCUUUUCAGUAGCUGUUCAGUAGGUUGCUAAUUCCAGGAGUUUCUUCUUUUGCUGGUUUAUGUGCAGAUCAAGUUCCUUUGGUUGGGACUCCUUAAUAAUUUAAGUUCUAGUGUUAAGUGCUUUAAUUCUCAAUUUGUUUUGUUCUUUGUUUAAAAAAGUGGUUAUGUAUAAAAAAAAUAUAAUAUAAUUGUAUAUAUUAACAUUCUCUCCUCCCAUCAUAAUUUUUAUUGCGCUAAAAUAUAUUGAGUAUAAAAUGUACCUUUAUCAAUUAAUAAUUUUAUAUAAUUUUUUCAUCCAUUCAUAUAAAAUAUUAAAAUUUAAACAUAAUAAUAAAAUUAUUAAAAAAAUUAUAUUUUAAUAUAUUUUAAAAUAUACUCUGUGUUAUUAAAAAGAGAUAAUAAAUUAAUAUAAAAUUGUGUAGAUACAAUCUAUAUUAAAAGAACUUUAAAUUUAAUUAAUUGUAAGUUUUUAAAAAUUAUAAUGCGAUUAAAACUAUUAAAUAAUGUAACAUUUAAUAUAAGCUAUAUAGUACAAAUACAGGUAUAUAUAUAUAUAUAUAUAUAUAUGUAUAGUUUACUAUUCACAAAGGACCACUUUUCAUAGGACCACAUUCAUAAUUGAGAAGGUUUGGGACUAUUUGAUGUCUGUUUUGGUUUGACAACCUUAGUUUUUAAUCAAAUUGGUUGAAAUAUUGCUAUCAAUGGUGUGAUUCCAAAUAUAAAAUAACAUUAAGGAAUUUAAUUUCAUAUUUAUAAAGGUAAAAUAUAGCUAGUAUUAUGUAGGGAUAAAAUAUUUUUACAUUUAUUUAAUCCCAAACUACUUAUAUAAAUGCAUAGGAGAUUAGUGUGUCACUAAGACCCACAAUGGUAGUGUUGUGGAACUUGUAAUAGUUUGAACUCCAAGAAAAAAAAGCAGAUAGAGUGACCAAAAACUCAUCAAUGGAUGCUGCUGGUGCAACCCUUUUGGGUUACAUCUUCUCCUUCUCCUUAGCUUUCAUUCUUUUCACUCUACUUUUGAAGUCCCUUGGCAUUUUACAAACAAAAAAUGGCAGUGUUGGAGCUCCACCAUCUCCACCAUCGCUUCCCAUUAUCGGUCAUCUCCACCUUGUGGGUUCCGUUGUACCGAAAUCAUUCCAAGCUCUGGCUCGCCGUUAUGGCCCUCUCAUUCAGCUCCGUUUAGGUGCCUCAACAUGCGUAGUUGUCUCCAACGCCCAAGUCGCCAAAGAAGUCAUGAAAACACAUGACCUCAAUUUCUGUUACCGACCCCAGUUUGGAUCCUCAGAGAACUACUCGUACAAAGGCUCUGAUUUCGUCACUGCCCCAUAUGGCCCUUAUUGGCGCUUCAUCAAAAAGCUUUGCGUUACUCAACUUCUCUCCACCACGCAGCUUG
rnacentral:lncRNA from 1 species